GGCGGAAUUAGUUGUGUCUAAUUUCCCAAUAACAAUCCUGGGCGGAAUUAUUGGCGUCUAUAAUUCCCAACAACAAUAUCAUGGAUGGCGACGUAUGGUUGGCUUAGUCCGCUGGCGGCGGAGAGCCCUACCUGAACCUGCUCGGGAAGAAAGCCGCUCAAAUCGUACUCAUAGAUGACCUCAAACGUCUUCGAGCCGGCGGUGGCACUGACGGUGAUCAUCUUCGUGGCUCCGACGUAGUUGAUCCGCGCAGUCACCUGCUGUCCGACUAAGGCGCCGUCGACCUCUGUCGUGUUGCGGGAUUCCCUAGAUCCGAUGUCGAUACCGAUGUGGGGGUAGUUCGGAUCCCACGGGCUGUUGACAUAGGUGUCAAACUCGACGGCGAAGACAGAUGGGCUAUUUCCGGGAGACUCCGAAGAUUCCGAGGUUGCCCCCGCUGCCGCCGUUGGGGAUGGUGGAGCCGACGGGGGCCAUGAAGAAGGUGAUGCCGUCAGCGGUGAGGUUGGUGGGGCUGGGUGUGAUUAUGAAGUUUACGGUGGUUUCAAAGUCGACUUGGCCGCCGGCUUGGGAGAACUGGACCGGGUUCGAGUGCAAGACCCGGCCGACACUGCCUAUCGUCGGGAAGGUGAGGCGGAGGAAGGGGGAGUUCCAUACGAAAUGGGCGUGGCCUUGGUAGGUGAGAUCGGUCGGCAAGUCACUCCAGAAGUCGUAGGUGAAGGACGUCGAUUGGGACUGCGCAGUGUUGGCGGCAGCGGCGAGGAGGAGGAUGAUGGAGGAGAGGAGAGGAAUUAGGGUUUGGAGGAGCUUAGCCAUGGCUUAAUUGAGUAUAUUUAGAUGUGGUGGAUGAUGGUGGUAUCUCUUGCUCCUAUUUAUAGUGAAUAGUGUAUAGUGUAUAGAGUAUAGUGUAUAUAUGCAUGAUAUUAUGAUUUAAUUGCCUAUGAAUUAUUAAACUUUCAUCAAAUUCUUAUUUUAUAUAUAAACUUCAAAUUAAAUGUAGCGUGAUAAUCACUAAAUUUAUUUAAUCUUAUAUUUGCUACCAAUCAGGAUUCUAGCCAAAUUUACUAUUGACAUUACAAAGUCGAGGAUAUCCUAAGAUGGAUUGAAACAUUAAGAUAUUCCAAGGAUCUUAAUAAUUUCUAUCAUUUGGCAUAAUUUUAUUUGAUUCAUAUCUCAUUGAAAGAAUAUGAUUUUUAUCCCCUCCGUUCACAAAGAUUGUAUGGUGAACUCAGGACAUGAGUUUUAAUAAAUACUUCUUCCGUCCCCAAAAUAACUUUCUAUGAGAGAGGGGCACGAGUUUUAAGAUAAAAUUGUUGAGUGUAUUCGAAGUGGUUAAAAAGUGUUAGUAUUGAAAGUGAUGAAAAUGUGUUAUAAUUAGUAUUUGAAGUGGUGAAAAGGUAAAAAAAUAGAGUAAAUAUAUGGAGUAUAUAUUAGUAGAAAGUGUAGAAAGAUCCACCAAAAUUGAGUGGAGAAAAAGAUCCACUAAAAUUGAUGUGUUAAAUGGUUGAAUAUUUUGUAAAUAUUGAAUGUGAAUGAUGUUUAAAAUGUAAGGGGCGUAGUUUCUAAAUAAAGAAAGCAUACAAUCUUUAUGGACAGACGAAAAUAAUAAUAAACAUACAAUCUUUGUGGAUUGAGGGAGUGAUAAACAUUUCAUUCAUUUAUUGUGGUUUGGAAUCGAUCUUUAUCAACAUUACAUGCAUUCACAAAUAUGAAGAAGGAUUUAAAACGUGUGACACCUUAUUUUAUAUUUAAAAUCGCAAUCACGAAGAGGACCACACUUAUCCUCUAAUCAAUGCUCUCCAUUAUUUUAUAGGAAAGGAUAAACAUGAUUCUUGGUUUAUUUAUGCUUUUAAUAUAUACAAUUAGAUGAUUUUUGGGGCAAAAAGUGAAGAUUUUGAUGUCCGACGGAGUCAAGUAAAGAAGUUGAAAAAAUCGAUUUUUGAUGCAAUUUUAGAAGAUCCAAAGAUGAUAAGAUCUGUGCUUGAGGGAACUUAUUUUGCAUAAGAAAGACUUUCAUUAAUUUCUUAAUUCGAGUAUAAAAUUAGAGGAUUAAAACCACAACUAAUGUUCCUUUGGCUUUUCCUUGAACAAUGUUGGGUAGCUAGUGAAUUUUCUUUGGUAAGUUCGUCCUUUUCUUUGACAAUGAGAAUUGACGUAAAUUGGAUUGUAUUGAAGAUUCUAGUAACAUUAUUCUAGUUUAUAUUUCAUGAUUUAAGGGCUGAAAAUAUGUAAGUAUGUUAAAGGCUAAAUUUUAGGUAAAUAAGUGCUCCAUACUUUGUUAAUAUGCCACUUUACAAAUAAUGUAUGUGUGAACUUGAAUUUGUUUUUUCAUUUAAAGAGAACUAAUAAUGAUAUCCAUUUCCCCCGUGAUGAUUCGAACCCCCAACUUAACAAUUACUGGUGAAACGUUUUAUCCAUGUGAUGACUCUAACCCCCCAAUUUAUAAUUAAUGAUUGGAUGGGAAGCGUAUUGAGGUUGUUAGUGAUUCUUCCAAGGUUAUUUUGUAACUAUGAACUAUCGAUUUUGUAUCAAUUGUACCCUGCAUUUGUUUUUUAGCUAGAGAAAAUAUGAGAAAAGAAAUGAGACAUUUAAAGGCAUAAAUUUUUGUUAUCCCUCAUUUUCUCAUCCAUCAAAGUGAACGCACCCUUAAAUGAUGAUUUGAAAAAAUAAAGUGAUUGUUUCUACGCUAAACCUAAUUGCGUUCGGCCUUUUUCGUUAUUUUAGUAUUUUCCUCAUUUAUUUUCAAUUCUGUUUCCUAUAUAUGGAUAUUUGAUGUAUGAGAAGAUGCUUUCAUAUGAUCCAUUUCAGAAAUAAAAUUAUUUAUUUUCUUUCUCACGAAGAGCGCUCACUUUGACAUCAGUAUCGCAUGAGCUGCACAUAAUUAAUGAAAGAAAAUAAGCAUACACUUGCAUUAUAUAAGAAGAGCAUAUAUACUCGCAGCCGUUUCUCAUAAAUUUCACGCAGUUUUUCGAUCUUUAGAGCCGCCGGCAUGCUCGGCCGAUCUGAAGCUCCAGUAGUCGAUAUCGUGAAGGGCGACGAGGUCGCCGGUGGAGGAGGCGAUUCCGACCUGAACCUGCGACGGAAGAAUUUCCCCCAAAUCAUACUCGUAUUCGAGAAGGCGAGUUUCUUUGUCGCAUUUGAGCGUAACGUCGAUGAAAUUGAUGCCGUCGUAUUGUAUGUGCAGCUGCGCCUCUUUCCCGAUGCACGAAUCGCCAAAUUUCACGAAGUUGCUCGACUUUAUCGAGCUGAUGUCGAUGCCGAUGUGCGGGAGAUCGUGGCUCGGAUCCCAACCGUUGGAGUAGAGGUCGAAUUCCACGGCAAAGAAGGCGGAGGCGGCCGGGCUAUCCCCCGAGGGGUUGAAUAGGCCUAGAUUGCCUCCGUAGGAACCCGGGGGGAUGGUGGUCCCCACGGGCGCCAUGAAGAAGGCGAUGCCGUCCGCGGCCGGGCCUUUUGUGGGGGUGAUGGUGAAUUUUAUGGUGGUAUUGAAAGAUACUACAAUUGAAUUUUCCCACAAUUUGAAGGGUUUGGAGUACAAUACGCGGCCGAUGCUCGACGGCCGUGGAAGGCCGUUGGCGUCGGUCUUGGUUAGCCGGAGGGAACGGGCGCCGUCGGGGACGUGGGCGUCGCCCUGGUAGGUUAGGUCGGUGGAGUUGGCGACGAAGGAGGUGAAGGUGAAGGAGGUCUUUUGUGAGGUCGCCUUGUUUGCUAGCAUUAGGAAAAAUGCUAUGCAAAAGAGGAGAAGAAUUAGGGUUUGUAGAAGCUUGGCCAUGGCUUGAUUUGAUGGGUGGAGUAUUAUUUGGAUGUAGUGAAUAGUGGUUGGCUCUCUAGCCCUAUUUAUAUUGGUUUAAUGCCACAUUCCAUUAUUAGUUUAAUAUAUUGUAGCUCACUAUUUUUUUUGAACUUUAUGGAGAAGGCAUGAGUUUUUUAAAAAAAUUGAGAAAUGUGUAUAAAAUGAAUAAAGAGGCUCACUAAAGUUGAUUUGGCAGGUAUUAAUAAAUUAUUUGUGUGAUGAGUUUUUUGUAAAUAUUGUGUGUGAAUGAGGGUAAAAUAUAAAGGUACAUAUGUCUUAAAAGGGACGGAAAUGACAAAUACUUAUUGUGGAUAAAGGUAGUAUAAUAUACGGAGUGUAUACUUAAGUUUAUCAAUUUUAUUACUAAAUUAAAUAUGGUUAAUUUAAUAUCAAUAUGCUUAUUAGUAAUUAGUAUUACUCCAUUCAUCCCAAAAACAUCAAUCUUUACUUAUUUUUUCGUUCGUCUCCAAAACAUCUUCCUAAUCUAUUUUUAUGUCCUGUAUUAAAUUUUCAAGCUAGUUUCACUCCCCAACUAUCGUUUAAAUUAUACAUACAUAUAUGGACGACUUGAAAAUUUGUUAAGGCAAUUGAUUAUGCCCAUGCCGUAUAGAAUCAAAAACCAUUCCUAAACAAAAAAUAGAAUAAUUAAGAAAAUAAUCUAGAAUAUAAAUAUAGAACUUAAAUUCUUUGCCACAAAUUUAAGUCAAUCAGCCGACAUAGUAAAUGUAUGUGUUUACAAGUAAUCAUGCCUUGUCUUGAGAUUCAAGUUGGCAAUUGAAGCAAAAUUUCUCACACAUAGCUAUCUACUCUAGCUAUGAAAUCAUGCAUUGUCUUGAGAUUUAAUUUGGCCCAUGAAUCCAAAUUUUGCAAUCAUGCCAUGUCUUAAGAUUCAAUUUGGCCCAUGAAACUAAAUUUCUUGAGCCUAUCUCUAACCUCUUUGAUAUUCAUAUAUAAUAACACCUUUAAAACACACACAACCCACUUCUAAAGUUCUACAUGUAUACACACGAACUCAUGCUUAUGUCACAAAUUAAGUUUUUCAAAAAUAAACUUUUCCCUAUUUGAAUUCCUUAUGUAUUCAGUUUGUUUUUAAUAUUUAAACUAUGUUAUUACAACAAAAUUAUCUAGCAGGGACAUGAUUUUAGCAACAUAAAAAAAGAUGUCAUAAAUUUCUUACUCCCUCCGUCCUCCGAAGCUUGAUCAACAAUUUCUUUUCGGCACGGAGUUUAAGGAGUUAAUAUUUUGUAUGUUAAUUAGUGUGGUAGGUGAAAAAAUGAAAAGAUGAAUAACGGGAAAAGUUGUUGCCAUAUAAGGAAAGUGAUCAAGCUUCGCGGAUAACCCAAAAAUGAAUACUGCUCAAGAUUCGCUGGAAGAAUGAAGUACAAUUUUAGGCAUAACAAAAAUUUAUUUACAUCCACACAUGCAUGCACCGAUACUUUAUCACAUGCAAAAUUACAAGUAACUUUGCUAAUUACAAAAAUUAAUACAUGAACCCUCAAAUGUCACUAGAUGUAAUGAUAUUUUUAUAUUUUUUCGACACACAUAAUAGUUACUCAUCACAAAAUAUCAAUAUUUUUAUCAUAUAGUGAUAUUUAUAAGUUUCACAAUUUUUCAAAUAUUAUGUCAAUGCUAGCUUAGACAUUUUGUUUUGACACUUUGUAUUGAAACAUGUUUUUUACAAAAAUAAAAUAAUUGAAUUUAUUAACGAAUAUUUAAACAAUCAAUCAAUAAUAACUACAAAGUGAAGCAAUUCAAGUUAAAAGGUAAAUUCUAAAUUUAAAUUUGAAAAACAAGAAAAUUCGAGCCUUAAUUUUUUUUAUUUUUUUAUAUACGCACUACAAAUCUCCCAUAAAUCUUAAAUCAAAAUUUAACCUUACAACAAAAAAUAAAUAUAUAAACUAAAAUGGAGUAUGAUAAUAUAGUUUUAUCAAAUUAUUUGAUAAUUCUAUUAAUAAAAGAUAAAAAAAAAAAUAAGGGGGGCCCACGGGCAUGCUGCCCCCAUAUGCUAUGGACCAUGGUGGCUAGGUCACUGCGCUCUCGAGAUCUACACUAUUUAUACGUGGUAUUCAUUGCGAAUUAUUUUGCAUUAUCUUUGUUUAUUUUUCUUAUAUUGGGAAAGAAAACAUGAGUAAUAUAUAGUAAUCUUUUAGAAGUCCAGUUACCAAUGUCGUCAAAAUUAUCUUGUCUAUUUUUAGAAGUUCAGAUAAACAUGCAACACAUUUUCAGAAGAAAUUUAAUAAUCUCUUACGAUUUACAUUUAUUUUUUAAAUAAUUAUCUCAGUGGUGAUAAAAUAAAAAAAUCGACUACAUUUUUCUAAGUAAUUUAUUAGAUACAAAAUAUUAUGAUUUAUGUUUGUAUAUUUUUUGUUUCCCAUUAGUGCAUUAUCAUUUCUAAGUAUCUUCUCACUUGUUCACUGAUUCACUAUUGGAUUAACAUGAAUAUACGAAUUUCAUAGUAUACCAACUGUUCGAUAAAAGUCCUAAAAGAAAUCUUCCAUAGAUAACCUUGCAAAUAACAGGAAACUAAAAUUACUCCCAAAGCAUUCCAUACAUAGAGAUGCGGAUUACCUUAUUCGUAGACUUAACGAGAGUACACUCGAUCGCUAGUCCUUAUUUACGACCCAAACUACACAUACAUUACAAAAUCACACAACUUGACGAAUGUUUCCACCGAGCUCCUUCCUGCUCUUGGCAGCGACGCCGACGUUUUGCACCAUGGUGGCCGUGAAAUACCACGCCACGAUGUCGUGUCUGGCGACGACUUGCCCCGUGGAGGCGGAGAGCCCGACUUGGACCUGCUCAGGAAGGAAGCCGCUCAAAUCGUACACAUAGCUGACCUCGAACGCUUUCGAGCCGGCGGUGACGUGGACGUCGAUCAUCUUCGUGGCGGCGGCGUAGUUGAUCCUUGCCGUCACCUGCUGCCCGAUUAUGGAGCCGUCGACCUCCGUCGUGUUGCCGGAUGACCUAGAGCCGAUGUCGAUGCCGAUGUGGGGAUAGUUCGGAUCCCACGCGCCGUUGACGUAGGUGUCGAACUCGACGGCGAAGACCGAGGGGCUGCUGCCGGAGGAGCCGAAGAUUCCGAGGUUGGAUCCGCUAGAGGAGGAAGGGAUGGUGGACCCGACGGGGGCGAUGAAGAAGGCGAGGCCGUCGGCGGCAGAGUUGCCGGGGCCAGGUGUGAUGAUGAAGUUUACGGUGGUUUCAAAGUCGACUUGGCCGCCGGUUUGUGAGAACUGGACCGGGUUCGAGUACAAUACCCGGCCAACUUUGGCGGUCUGUGCGUCGGUGAGGCGGAGGAAGGUGGAGUCCGACGGGAAAUGGGCGUCGCCUUGGUAGGUGAGGUCGGUCGGCUGGUCGCCCCAGAAGUCGUAGGUGAAGGACGUCGAUUGGGACUGCGCCACGUUGGCGGCGGCGAGGAGUAGGGCGACGGAGGAGAGGAGAGGAAUUAGGGUUUGGAGAAGCUUGGCCAUUGCUUAAUUGAUUUGGAUGUGGUGGAUGAUGGUGAUAUGUCUUAAGCUUGCACUCCUAUAUAUACUAGUGUAGUUCAUGCAUGAUAAUGUUGUUUAAUCAUCAUAUAUUUUAUUUCAUUAAAAUGAAUCACCUCGUCCAUUCGAGGUAAAUGAACCAUGUGAUCUUAUGUACUACCAGCCACAUUUUAAUUUGCUCGUUGGAAUAUUAUCUAUAGUUGUAUCUAUUGUAUUUGUAUAAAUGAUUUUUGGAAGGGAACUUAGAAAAAGUUCUUGAUAGGGGCUGUAUUUUUUAAUUUCAAGUGCAAAAUUAAGUUUUGAUAGACAAUUUACUUAUGAUUCAAUUUAACGAUCGGGUUUUCUGAAAAAAAAAAAUUCACACAAAAAAUCGAUUAUUUAAUAAUUUUAUAAGAAAAAAGAAGAAGAAGAAAUUUUCUAUUUAGGAUAUACACGAGCAGAUGAGAUCCUCUGUCCCACUAUUUUGUGUGUACCACCAUGUACCAUUCUUAAUUUAUUUAUUUUAGUAAUUAUUUUUUAUAAAAAUAAAAAUUAUUAUUAUAUUUUUUAUUUUCAUUUAAGUGAGUUACUAGAUUUAUUUGGGGUGAGCACAGGUUAUUUUGGAAAAGGAGAAUAUCUGUAAGAUGAUGUGAAAAUUAUUCAAUAUAAGCACAUAUAGGGGUUGAGUUCUCAAAGGAACUUAAUUAAUAUCCAAUGUGAUUGAUACAUUUCGACUAAAUGGAUGGACUGUGACGCCCCGACCAAAAGUAAAGAGUGAUUGUGAUCGGUGCACAAGGCAUGGAUGAAAAGCGGUUCCUAGUAAUGCUUCGAUACGGAGGAUACAUGAAUGAAUCGAAACACACCAGAAAGAGAGGGAUUCCAUGAGUACGUACGCAGGUAUAUGACUGCAUAUUCGAGGAGCUUAAAUAAUUUUAUUGGUGUUACUCAUAUCAACAAGAUGCAUCUUCUUUUUUGGUGACCAUAUGAAAUAAACUCCAAGGUUAAGCGUGCUUGGCGUAGAGCAACUUGAUGAUUGGUGACCUCCCUAAGAAGUUUAUCAGAAAGCGUGCUAGUAAGAACAAAACAUGCUAGAAAAGACUCAUAUUAGUCUGUGGGGACAGCCGUUAAAUUUGGAUUCGGGUCUUUACAAGUGGCAUUAGAGAUUAACCUCUCACAGUAUGGUGCGGUUCGGGAACGAACCAAGCGGAAGUUGGUACUCAAUAUUCCAUCUAUUGUGAGUUUCUUUGUCUUCUUCAUCUUUCUUUUACUCUGCUGUCGAGUUUCAGAGAGUAAUCAGAUAGGUUUUCAUUCGAGUUGAGUUUCUUGAGUGAUAAACUGUUAAUUGUGAGUUUCAUUCGAUCAUUUGUUGAUUAUAAAUAUCUGCACAUGGAUAUUGGUCAAUUUAGAUACACUGAUCUUCAAAUUGAUUGACGAAUCUUUAGAAUUCAAAAUUUAAAUCAAAUACGCGUGUUCAUAGUUAAUUGGUAAGUACACUUUUUUUUNAUAUAAAUAUAAUUGACUCGAGAUCUCUGCUACUUACGCAUACUUCGCUCGAGACAAAAAUAAAUAAUUGAUCAUUGAGAACUCCGCUACCACACCAUACUCGUGUACUAUUUAUCAUUGUUUAUGAUUAUUAAUAAAGACGUGUCUUUGCCUGAUAAAUUUAAUUUUCAUACUCUUGAUUCUUUUUUGGCCAUAUCAUUUUUUAAAAAAUUGGGAGGGGAAUGGUGGAAAUUGAAUAUGAAAAAUACCAGUCAAAUGAUACAUGUGCACUUUCAAAGACAAAACAUAAAUGUAACCUUCGUUUGUAAAACAUAGAAAUUCUACCAUAUAUUUGUGAUUAUUUUACCUUUAUACGAUCUAUUUAUAUAUAUUUAUUAGAAUUAAUAAAAAUAUACUACAUUCGUCCACGAAAAAGAAUCUCAUUGUGUGCUGGAUGUGAGUCGUAUCGAGAGUGAGAGGGAACACAUUGUCUCCGGUCUCUGCCGUCUUGGCGAGAUCUUCGGCAUUGGCCUGAUCCGGCCGCUGAGGUGGCCGGUAGGUCAUCCAUGGAGUAUGGCUAUAUUCAUACUCGUAUCCCAUUUUGGUUGUAGAACAAGAAGGCGGUGUUGUUGAAAUCGUCGUCGUUGAUAUCCUUUGGAAAACCGGCUGGGAUAGUUUUCGCCAUUAGAGUGAUGUGCGUAGAAGAGAGGAUCUUCCGGCGGUCUUCGCGGAAACCGUUGUCGCGUGUCCAUAGUUCAUGGAUUGAAAAUAUGCAGGUAAAGCACCCGGCGUACUCGGCCAUACAAUUAACUCGCCAUCAUGAGCUAUAAUUCUAUUCGAGUAAGUUCAAUCUCUAAUGAAUUAAUAUAUUUUUAUAAAUAUAUAAUUUGCAAAAUAACCUUAAAAUAAAAUAUGUAAUAAGGGUAAAAUAGGCAAUCCACAUGUUGUGCUCAAUGCUCUUUUUAUAUUACUAGGAGAAAGAUAAUUAAUGUUAUUUUAUCUAAUAAAAUAAAAAAUAUAAAUAUAAUAUUUAUUAUAUUUAAAUUUUUAAUUAACAAUUUUGUUUAUUUAAUUCUCUUAUCUCUUACAAUAUUUUUUUUUAGAAAAUCUAUUAGUUCAUUACUUCGACUAAAUAUAAUUUAUUGGAUAGAUAUAUUUAUUUAUAAGCCUUAUCAAUAGCUAUAGAUAUAUAUUACAUAGAUUUAAUGUAAUAUUUAAUGAAUCAAUAGCUCUUUUCUUUUAUAUUAGUAUAGAUUAUAUAGAUAGAUAUAUAUAGUGCAUGCAUGAUAAUGUUGAUUGAUCAUCGUAACUAUAUAAUUUAUUGCACUAAUAAUGAAUCACGUUCCCACUCGAGGUAUAUAAAAUGAAUCAUGUGACCUUUUCUACUACCCGACACAUUUUGCUCCUUGGAAUAUUAUUUAUAAUUGUGUCUAUUGUAUAGUGCAUGCAUGAUAAUGUUGUUUAAUCAUCAUAAAUCUUCAUGGCUCAUCCACCUCAUCCAAUCGAAGCAUAUAAUGAACCAUGUGAUCAUAUCUACUACCUGACACAUUUUGCUUCUUGGAAUGCUAGCUAUAAUUGUAUCUAUUGUGUGAAUGUAAGCAAAAGGGCGCGCACAAUUUUUUAUUUUUUUUUGGAUAGGUGACUCGCUCAAAAUACCUAUUGAAUUGACUCGUAAUCGCACGAGGUCAUUCUAGCGUAGUAAGCUAACCCAUGUCGUAUCUCACAAGGAAGAUUAAGCAGGACGACUAAUUUUGGAUUAUUUUUAAUCAAAUGUUGGAUAUUUUUUAAUUAGAGUAAAAUUAAAAUAAGUAAAUUAUUGUAUAUUUUCAGAUUCGGAAACUAAUGGCUUUAUUUUAAUUUAAUCAUUUUCAUAUGUCAGUUAUAUUAUGUAAAUGACGUUUUUAGUAACAAACAAAUGACAUUUUAAUCAAUAAAUGAUACUUUUAUCAAUAAUAAAUGAAACCAUAUUAAGGUAAAUAGGGUAAAGGUUAGACUUAACUGUGAAAGCAUCAUGAGUUUUAUGUGUAACAUUUUCGGUGUGAAAAUUGAUGAGUUAAAAAAAAUGCUCCAUAUUGAAUUCGACAUUAGAUGAAUCUACAGUAGAUUUUCAUGCAUGAUCUAAGAGCUGAAAAUGAUUCACGGUCUAUAUUUAUUCUAUCAAAUUCCAUAUCACUUUAAAUCUCAAAUUACAUUUGCACUAUAUAUGAUUAUAUCCUAAAUUAUCAUAAAUAUGAACCGCUUAAAUCUGGCGUCGUUGCACCGCGGACAUCUUGCCGCUGCUUUCUCCCACCAUUGCCCUUGCUGCCCUCAUCUUAGGUGCCAAUUUUUUGCUCGUCGUGCAGAAUUUGAAAGGGGUAAAUUAUUUUUUCAAUUUUUUAUUGCAUUUUGCUGUCUAAGUUGAUUUCUCAAGUAAAGUGGACUUGGGUUUUGUUUCGAUUAUAGCUGAAUUCGAUGGCGCUGUGUGGUUAGAUCUGUAAUUUUGACGUGUUGUUGAAGUGUGCGGGAUUGAAUGUGAUCUGGGAGAAUUUAAGGGUUUUGGGACGUUAGUAUGAUGAUGGUGGGAUUUGAAUGAAUUUGAAUACCAGAUUAUGGUUGAUGUUUAAUUAUGUGAAUCUUGCGAUCUGUGUUGAAAUUAAUGUACAGUAUCUUCGCCUAGCCGGGGGUUCACCAUUUGGUUCCCGACCGUCCUGCUGCCUUCACUCCACACUCAAGUGCCAAUAUCUUCUUCUCGUUUCUCUUCCUUCUUCUUCUCCUCUUAGUACCUGCAAGACAGAAGGAAAAACCAGCAAGUAUAAAGAAAAAUCAGAAAACUUAAAGAAGUAAAGAAAGAAAGAAAACAAAGGAAACUCGAGGUGGGAAAAAGGUGUCCUCGGGACACAGGUGGCUCAGAUUUUUCCCACAGUGGCAACACACUCCGGCAGCUCAAAGACCACGGCACAAAGGGGAAGGGAAGUCAGAUCGGAGCUCAAAUCUGACGAGCACAGCCACCAAUAAUCAGGAAUCCGGUGGACAGGAUUCCGGCGGCUCAGAAAUCCUUCGCUUUAUCACCAAACAGGAAAUCUAAGGUCAGCAAUCCGACAAUAAUGCUAUCAACAGGAGGAAGCUCUCACUUUACGGCCACAACACCGGAAACCAGAACGGAAACCAGAGAACAGAAGGAAUAGCAGAGCCUUCAAGGUUGUGAACAUACUACAGAACUUCCCCCAAUCGAUUGCUUUAUAACCGAGACAGAGAAGGGUCGGGAAGAUGUAGUGGGCUUUGGGAAGGAGGAGGAAGCCAUUAAUGGUGGUGGAGCUCGAGGGAAAGCGAGAUCAGCAGUCGUGAAGACUUAGGGUUUGGGAGGGGAUUUGAGGUGGAGCGGCGGAGGUUGAAAUGAGGGAAAGGCCGAGUGAGAGAGGGAGUAUUUCAGUGGAUAAUGGGCUAGGGUAUUUUUGAGUUAACGGGCUAUAGGUGUCUGGGCCCAAAAGUUGGGCCAGAGAAGGGAUAAAGAGCAUUGGGCCAACAUUCCACAAUUAAGACAAUUAAGAGUAGAAAUUCUUCUUGAUUUGCUAAUUUAUUUAGGAUUAGCGAUAUUAGUUUGGAGUUUUAGAUGUCGAUUGAUUUCGUGAUCUUGAUUUAUGUGAUAAAUGCCUCUCAUCACUAAGAUUUGGAAUAUAUUGGAUAUCUAGGAUAGUGAUAUUAGUUUGGAGUUUUAGAUGUUGAUGUGUCUUUUUAGGCUGCGUUUACUUUGAUGGAUAAAUUUAUAUAUGGAAAAGGAUGGAUAACACAAAUUUAUGCUUUUAAAUGUCUCCUUCCUCUUCCAACAUUUGACACAAAAAGAGAUGCUCGCUAUUUUUUCUUCCUUAUCUUCACUUCAAGGAUGGAUAAUAUUAUCCCUCCAUUUUGGUGUGAUAAUAUUAUCCAUCAUUGAAGUGAAGAUAAGGAAGGAAAAAUAGUAGAGCAUCUCUUUUUGUGUCAAAUGUUGGAAAAGGAAAGAGACAUUUAAAGGCAUGAAUUUGUGUUAUUCAUCAUUUUCCAUAGAUAAAUUUAUCCAUCAAAGUAUACGAAGCCUUAUGUGAUAAAUGCUUUUUUAGGGGGGCCCACGGGCAUGCUGCCCCAUAUGCUAUGGAGUAUGGACCAUGGUGGCUCGGUCACUGCGCUCUCGAUUGCGAAUUAUUUUGCAUUAUCUUUGUUUGUUUUUCUUAUAUUGGGAAAGAAAACAUAGAGUAAUAUAUAUUUUAGAAGUCCAGUUACCAAUGUCGUCAAUCUCGAGUGAAAAUAAAUAUUACCAUAACACAAAAAUGACAAAGCUAUUGAUUAGUGACGAUAUGUUAGAAGUUCAGAUAAACAACACAUUUAUUCUUGUGUAUAUUAUAUUAACGUUUAUUAUAUAUUAUAAAAAGAACAUAUUCUUUCAAAAUUAUCUUGUCUAUUUUUAGAAGUUCAGAUAAACAACACAUUUUCAGAAGAAAUUUAAUAAUCUCUUACGAUUUACAUAUAAUUUUUAAAUAAUUAAUUAUCUCAGUGGUGAUAAAAUAAAAAAACGAAGUAAUUUAUUAUAUACAAAAUAUUAUGAUUUAUGUUUGUAUAUUAUUUGUUUCCAUUAGUGCAUUAUCAUUUCUAAGUAUCUUCUCACUUGUUCACUGAUUCACUAUUGGAUUAACAUGAAUAUACGAAUUUCAUAGUAUACCAACCGUUCGAUAAAAGUCCUCAAAGAAAUCUUCCAUAGAUAACCUUGCAAAAGUACGUGUAUCUAUAUUAAUAGAAUAAGAGCCUAAGGAAUCUUAAAACACAAUUUUUGGAUUGCCUAUUUUACCACUAUUAUAUAUUAUUUUAAAAUUAUUUUACAUAUUAUAUAUUAAUAGGAAUAUAUUAAUUCAUUAGAUAUUACACUAAAUCUAUGUGAUAUAUUUCUAUAGCUAUUGAUAAGGCUUAUAAAUAAAUAUAUAUCCAUCUAAUAAAUUAUCUAAUAAAAGUAAUGAAUUAAUAGAUUUUUUAAAAUAAUAAAUUAUCAAAUAAAAUAACAUUAAUUACACACGUACGUUCUUUCUGCUAGCUAGUUAAAUAAAAAGAAGAAGAAACUGAGACUGAAAAAGGGAGAAUUAAGAUAGUCCAUUAUUAUCGUCUUAUUUUUAGAACUUAAACGAGAGAAAAGUCCAUCGCUAGUCCUAAUUUACAACACAACACAACACAUGAUAAUAAAUUUAAAUCACACAUAUUGCCGGAUGUACCCUUCCUCCUCUUUGCCGGCGGCGGCAUGCACGAGGGUGGACGUGAAAUACCACGAGACGAUGUCGUGCACGGCGUCUUGGCCUCCGGUGGCCGCGGAGAUCCCGACCUGAACCUGCUGAGGAAGAAUGGCGCUCAGGUCGUACACAUAGCUCACCUCGUAUGUUUGCGAGCCGGCGGCGAGGCUCACGCUGAUCAGCUUAGUGGCUUCCAGGUAGUUGAUGCGCGCAGUCACCUGCUGCCCGAGCAACGCGUUGCCGACGUUGGUCACGUUUUUGGAAACAUUAGAUUCGAUGUCGAUCCCGAUAUGGCGAUAGCUAGGAUCCACUCCGGGGUUGGAGAAGACGUCGAAUUCCACGGCGAAGACGGCGGGGCCGACGCCGGAGGAGUUGAAGAUUCCGAAGCAGCCGCCGGUGAAGCCGAGGGGUAAGCCGACGGGGGCGAUGAAGAAGGUCACGCCGUCGGCGGGGUUCGUGUCGCCUGCGUUGGGGGUUACGGCGAACGUCAGGGUGGUCUCGAAGUCGACCUGCGCGCCGGCCUCCCAGAACGUGAUCGGGGCUGAGUACACGGCCCGGCCGACGCUGUACUGGACCGCGCUGCCGGAGCUGGUGGUGUUGGUCAUGCGGAGGAAGGUGGAGUCCGACGGGAAGUGGGCGUCGCCUUGGUAGAGGAGAUCGGUCGGCUGGUCGCCCCAGAAGUCGUACGUGAAGGCUGUCGAUUGGGACUGCAUGCGCCGUGUUGGCGGCGGUGGCGAGGAGGAGGGCGAUGGAGAUUAGGGUUUGGAGAAGCUUGGCCAUGGCUUAAUUGAGUUAGUAGUAUUUGCUUUGGAUGUGGUGUGAUGAUGGUGUAUUGGUGUUAACUCUUGCUCCUAUUUAUGCUAGUAUAGUGCUUGAAUGAAAAUGUUAUUUAAAUUAACAUCAUAUUUUUUAUUACACAAAAAUGACUCACCCCAUCUUCUCGAGAUUAACUGAACUUGUGAUCUCUAAUAAUUUAUAACCUACCACAUUGUAGUUGUUGGAGUAUACUCCCUCUGUCCCGGUUUUAGCACGAGUUUUAAUAAAUUGGUUGAUUGUAUUAUGAGUAGAAUAAGGAUAAUAUUUUUUAUGGAAGUGUUAAAAUAAUUAAAAUUGAGAAAAUGUUUCACCUAUUUUUAUUAAAAAUAGAAAUGAAUUUUAAAAUAUGGGACGACGGCCAGAAAAAGAAAAUAUAUAUGGAUACUAAAAGUUGGGACGGAGUGAGUAUUAUCUAUAGUGGUAUCUAUUGUAUGAGUACAAGAGAUUUACUUGACUUGUUGAGGUAUGGAGAGAUUAUUACAAACCACGUGAAAUUGAGUUCUUGCUCCCACUGUAAAAGCAAUAAAUAUAGGGAAAAGAAAAUUAAUACUUCCUUCGUCCAAGAAAUGAGUACACAUAUUUCUUUUUUAGUCCGUUCAUGAAAUGAGUACUCAUUAAUUUUUCUUUUUAUCAAGUGUACCUCACACAACCCUUUAAUUAAUUAAUACCUUUAAAAAGUGGGUCCCUUAUUCCACUAACACCACACUCAAUCAUUUCUUAAAACCUGUAACGUCCCCAAAUGAGAUUCAUUUCGUGGAUUGAGUAAAUUCUAUACUACAAAUUAAUGGUUCGAAUUCACUUUAAAAAAUAAACUACAAUUAAGAGUCCCUCUCUUAAUUGGAAUUCAUAGACCAUCUGCUUCAGUCGUGCCCGAAGACAGAAAAGGUUUGGAUUGGAAUUCAUAGGUGGCUAGGGAAUAAAAGCAGUGUGGCCUCAAUCAUUGAAGCACACUUCGAUUUGUUCACAAAUCUUGACAAAGGAAAGGAAGGUCGAUUUUUCUAGCGACAGUAUGGGUCUAUACCAUUUGGUUGCUGUGGAAAUGACGUAACGAGAGCAGAUUUGAGGGCAAGACUUGGGAGAUCAAUGACGUGAUCGAAGAAGUGAAAGUGAGGAUGUGGAGUUGGAACAAGAUUUUUGGACUACAUGUUAAAGAGAUUAGCUCUCAAUCUUGGUUUUCUUGUGAAACUCCUCUUGUUUUGUGUAAUUUGGUCGUAUCUCUGGUACCAAACUCUCUCCUAAUAAAAUUUCUUUUCUGAUUAAAAAAAAAAAAAAGAGUCCCUCUCUUAAUCAAGUAGACUGGAUGCGGUAAGAGAGAAAUCACUUCCAACUUAUCGAUUUUACUAGCAACAACUAGAUUUAUACUGAAGCUAAAUUGGAUCAGACUCUAGGAUUCACUAGUCUUUUACUCAAGGUGAGUCGGUUUACGAGUCUCAAACUCAAGGUGAACUAGAAUGUCUGUCAAUACGAACGUUGGGAGUUCGAGGGUUUUUUAGGACAGUAACUUAGAUUGAUUUGGAAAUUAGGACAAUAACUUUCGGACUUGUAAAAAUAGGACUCUAAUUCUUUUUAAGAGUAAAAUAGGACACUAAUUAAUAAGUGUUACAUCCGCAGGACAUUUUUCGGCCAAUUAUCGGCCGAGAAAUGUCCUACUUUUACGACGCUUAUUAAUUAGUGUCCUAUUUUUACAAAUUCGAAAGUUUUGUCUUAAUUUUCAAAUCAACAUAAGUUAUUGUCCUAAAAAAUCCCCUGACUCCGAACGUUGGAACAAGCUCGGCAAUAUACUGCUAUUCAACAUUAAUGGCACUUUGCACUAAAUGAAUUGGUGUCGAAUUAAUACAUCGUCUUGCUGCUCAUAUCUAUAUAAUAAAUGCAUACCUGCACCUCGAUAUUAAUCAAUUUAGAUACACUAAAUCUCGGAUAUACUUAACAAAUGGAUUAAUAAAUGUAUAAAUUUUAGAUUUCAGAAAAUCAAAUACAGGUGUUCAUAAGGAAAUGAUUAAAAACCCGUGUGUCAUUUAGAUAAGAUUAUUAUAGUACAGUUAACGAUGGUGAAAUAUUCUUUUACAUUAGAUAUAAUAGCAUUCCAGAUCUCAAUGGCAUUUUUUGUUAUAACAAAAAAAAAUUGUAUAUGUUCCAUACUAUCCUCAAACUUCAAAUUAUUAUUUUUCUUUAUUUUAAAAUUUGUAUUGGCACAUAUCUGUCAAUUAAUCAAAUUCAUAUCAAAACAAUAAUUCGAAUGAUAUAUUAGUUGGCUAGCUAUAAAUUACAAAUUAUUAGUGAUUAGGCAUGUUUUACACAAAUUAUUAGCCCAAACAACAUUUGAUUGUGUGCAAUGCACACACUUACUAAAAGCAGAUGUGAUCAUCUGUCCCACAAUUUAGUGUGUAUCACCGUGUACCAUUCUUAAUUUGUCUAUUUUAUAAUUAUUUGUUGUAAAAAUAAAAAAAAUAUUGUUAUAUUAUGAACUCUAAUUAAAAUUUAUAACUAAAAAUAAAAAUUAAAAAAAAUUAUAUACCCUAACUUUGAAUUAAUUAACCCAAAUAAUCAAUUAUUAAUUCAAAUAAAUAUAAAAAAUAAUUAUAAACUCUAAUUGAAUGAGUGAACCCUUAUUAAUUAGUUUCUUAUUAUAUUAUAAUAAAUUAAAAUUGAAGAAAAUAUAAUUAUAUAUUAUAAUAAAUUAAGAGUGGUACACGGUGGUACACACUAAAUUGUGGGACAGAUCCAUGUGCACUAAAUUAUAGGUACGGAGGUGCGGAUGCGGGGGCGAUACGAUACGAGUACGGGGAUACGGGUUCUAAAAAAUUAUAGGGUGCGAUUCGGCAAGGAUACAUCUAAUUAUUAAAAUUUUAUGAUAUACUAAUUGUUAGAAAUGGAUAUUGGGCCAAUUCCUCCCUUAAAAGGCCUUAUAAGGGAGAGGGUUACCUCACCAUAUAAAGUGGCUCAUGCCACUAUCUCCAAUCCAAUGUGGGACACUUCAAUACUAAUGCUUAUAAAAUAUAUACAAUUUAAAUUUUCUUAAAUUAAUUAUAUGUAAUUUACAUUUUAUUUUACCCAAAAGUUAAGCAUUUUCAAUUAUAUAAGUUAAUUGAGCAACAAUAUAACGAUUCAAAUAUUAUUAGUCCAAUAUAUAAGUCAUAACUGAAAAUAAAAUUAUCAAAAUAACCUUGUGUAGGCCUUUCGUGCACGAGAUACGUGAAUUUCGCCUAUGGAAUUUGCAAAUCCGGUUUAUUUUUAUAAAUUGUUUUAAAAGAUACGCACUGGUGAAUCGGUGCGAAUCCGACAAGAAUUCGAGAAAUCACACCCUAAAAGAAUCCGAUUCGCCGUACAUCUAAUUUUUGAAGAAUCCGUGCAUCAUAGGUGAGAAGAAACACAAGAGAGUAAAAUGGUACAUAAUGUAGAAAGACUUUUCUCCAAAAUAAAUGUUACAGUCUUCUAAUAGUCGAAAGGCGCAUGAAAAUGCGCAGUUAUUCGAAAGAAAGGAAAGGCUUAUUCAGCCACACAAUGACAUGGAAUUCGAAUUGAAAUUGAAAUUCAGACAAAUCCCAAACACGGUGAUGCAGAGAUCAAGCGGUAACACGAGGAAUGAUCUUAAUACCACCGAUGGUAACUUCGUCGCCGUUAAUGUGGGGAACGAUGGUGACGACAAUGAAAUCAUCAUCAGCAAUAUUGAUGUUCUCAUAGAGCUCCCUCAAGUUCAAGCGAAGGUCGUUGGCGCUUUCCGCAGCCCUAACCCUAUGCGGAAUCUGCGUGAAACUGCCGGCGAACUCGGCCCUGGCGAGGUCCUCUGGCUUGUCGUCUUCGUCAUUCACGAACACAUCGAACCUCACGAGCUUCGAACUAUCGGUGAUUAUGUUCUCCAGCACGAGCACUUCGUCGGCUUUGCCUUUGGUUGGUUUGGGCACCAAAACCCUGUGAGUCUUGUUGAGAGUGAGAGGGAACAGAUUGUCUCCACUCUCUGCCCUCUUGGAGAGAUCUUCGAUAUUCACCGGCACCUCCCUCCGCGGUGGCCGGUAGGCUGUCCACGGAGUUUCGCUGUGUUCAUACACGUAUCCCAUUUUGGUGUGGUCCAAGCAGUCGGCCACCUUGACGCGCACGAGGUUCUUCUUCUCGUCGUAGAACAUGAACGCCGCGUUGUUGAAAUCGUCGGGGUUGGGGACGACGAGGUCGUUGAUAUCCUUGGGGAAAACGGAUGGGAUAGUUUUCCAUAUGGUCCACAUUCUGUCGACGUUAGCGUGAUGUGCGUAGAAGAGAGGGUCUCUUCCGGCGGAGUAGAAGUUCCCCAUGUCUUCGCGGAAAUCGUUGGCGGGGUUUCCGGUCCAGACGUGGACGCCGCCGUGUGAGCCGCCCUCCGACAAUCCUCCCUUGGCGCGUGGCGGGGGCAAGUCCCCGGAAACGUAAGGAUCGCCCAUGAAGUCGAUGGCGGAUUCGACAUCACCAAUCAUUUCCUUGUACAUCUGAGUGAGAUUGUUUUCGAUGAUCGUUACAGGAUCGGUGAUCGGGGGGGUGGUUAUGGCAAGAGCAACGAGGGCCGGGGGGCGAUGCGUUGGGUCGCGGUUGACGUCGUAGAGCGGGGAUUCUUCCCUGUCGAACGGCCUGGGCAUCUGCAUACCCCUAGGGUUGUCCCAGUUCCAGUAGGGCAGGGCGAAAUCGGGAUCUCCGAUGAGUUCGCCCAUGAUCCUCUCGAAGAAAUAGAGGUACCACCUGUGGAAGGGGUGGAUCCAGAAUUUGUCAUUAGGAGGGACUAAAUUUGUUGAAGCAUGACGUCUCAAAUUAUUAGCCAAUUUUUUUUAGCAUUCCAUACAGUUCAUUUUUUUGUCGAACUACAUUCGAUUAAUUCAACAACAAGAACAUUGAAAGCAUAUAAAUACUUACCUCUCAAAAAUUGUUUCAUCUUCUAAGAAGAUAAGCUAAUUUUCAUCAUGGCAGUUCAUAAUUUUAAUUUAACUUGAGGAUUGACUCAAAUUCAACACUGAGAAUCAACUAAGAAAGGAAAGUAGACAAAAAUAACAUAAAUUUAACAAACUAACAUAUCAAAUUUAAAUCACUAUAAAAUAUUAAACAGUUAAAACGUGGAUACUAUAAUUAAUAAAACAAUGUAUUUUAUUAUCUCUUGUAUUUCUUAUCUAUACUAAUAGAAAAAGAGUCUAAGACAGUCUAAGGCACAACUUGUGGAUUGCCUAUUUUACCCUUAUUAUAUAUUUAUUAUUAUAUUUACAAAAUAUAAAUCUAUUUUGAUAAAUAUUUAUUUGUCACUCAAAUCUAUAAAGAAUACUUUAUAUCUAUAGCUAUUGAUAAGGCUUAUAAAUAAAUAUAUUCAUCCACAACGUACGUUCUUUCUGCUAGUAUAUAAUAAAAACAAAAACAAAAAACUCAAAAUUUGGGAGGCGGUCGAUCCGCUGCUAACCUGUGGAAAGGGAAGAAGAUCCAUGAGUUGUGAACCUGGAUAUCGAUGCCGGGGUGGUCCACCUGGUCGUAGGGGCCGUUGCAGUAAGCGCAGUGGAUGUUGGCCUGCUGAGUGAAGCCACGGGGAUCGUCGGGGUCCGUCACGUCCAGUUCCUUCAUCUUCUGGAUGGCCAACUCAUACUUGCGUACGUAUUCCGGUGUCAGCCUGUGCGCCGCCGGCCUAACGCGAGGUUUAGUGAACCUCGGAAGCUUGUAGUCGCUCUGAACGUCGGUGUAGGGCGGGCAGCAGUUGACGUCUAGAGAUAUUACCUCUUGGUUUCGAGUGGUGUAGGCACCUUCGGGGUCGCAGGUGCUCAGGUCAGGAGGCAAAAUCGGAAGCGCCUCAGCUUUGCGGAUGGCGCUGCCUGCGCCGUAUAGACCGCCCAGCCCAAGCAGCAUGUUUCUGCGGUCUAUACGGCCGCUGCCACCGCCACCGCUGCUGCAUGACACCUGAAAGCGGCCGUGGCUCCGCCGGCUGCUGAGCUGGGAGGGCUUGCGAAAUGGGGAGUUGGUGGCGGCGGCGAUCGCCGUGAAUGAAGAUUGAAGGGAAGCCAUGUUUGAGUGAUUGAUUGAUGGUCGUUGUGAUUACCUGGGGAGGCAUGUCUUUAUAUAGCAGAUGUGACACGAGUUUUAAGAAAAAUAAAUUAUCCGUUGAAUAAUUAAAUCGCCAUGUUUCUAUAAUUUAUUCCUAAUGGAUCUAGUCAAACUAAUCGUGCAAUAUUUAAUAAACCACGCAGCAUCAUUUCCGAGACUAAUAAAUGACAUUUUGAACCAGCUAAUCAAUUCCAUAUAAUUAACCAUUUGCGAGGCUGGCUGCCCUUCACUAAAUGGUUGUAUGCACUUGUCUUUGGAAAAGCUGUUUGGCCAUAUUAUGGCCAGUCAUAAUAUGGGAAAAUAUUAUAAAAGUCAUGUAUUUAAUUUUUUAUAUUUAAAAUAAAAAUAGGAUUUUAUUAGUUUUAUUUUUUAUUACAUAUUUUAGCUAUUUUUUUUUAUAAUUUUUCUGAAUUUUUUAGAAAAAUAAAAAAUAAAAUUACAAUGUGAACAAAAUUAUAAAACUAAUAAUGGUAGAGCAGCGGAGGGCACAGGUGAAGGGCAUGGCGGCGGUGUACUUAUUUUAGUCAAGUAAUUAUUAUUGCACGAAAAAAUAAUUAUUAAUAUAAAGAAAGAUAAUGUUUCAAAGACAUUAUCUUUCUUCAUGUCUAUUAAUUUUUCAUCACAAUAAUAAUUACUUCGAAUUAUCCGUGUUUUCAAUCGUGCGACCUGCACCCAGCCCGACCCGACCCGUUUCACCCAUAUAGUCAGUCUCACCCAAGUUUUUGCCUAAAGAUAAGUAUUAAUUAGUUGUGUAUGGUGAUAUGAGUCUUGUUUGUAUAAAUUAGUAGGCCUUUAAUAAUGAAUUGGCCCAUCUCAGGUGGUUUAUAUAAUUUACUCGUAUGGAUCUAAAUACAACUAAUCAUGAAAUAUUUAAUAUACCACGGAGCAUCUUUCUGAUAUACUAUUUAUAUAGUAAUUUAUUCCUAAUGGAUCUAAUCUCUGACUAUUUAAUAAUUAACUCGCCAUCGUUUAAAUAAUUUACUCCUUAUGGAUACACUCAAAGUAAUCGUGCAAUAUUUAAUAUACCACGCAGCAUCAUUUCUCAUACAAUAUUUUGGACCAUCUAACCAAUUACAUAUAAUUAAACCUUUUGCCAGGGUGGCUGUCCCUUCCACUAUAUGGUUGCAUGUAUUGAAUUGAAAUUUUAUUGAGGAAAAAAUGAAAAGAAAAACUAGGAAUUCAUUGAUAGCACGAAGACGCUAAUUAAGGGCUGAGCCUCAUCAAAACCUUUCCGAUAAAAAUCCAGUGAAAAAAACCACCAGCAAAGGAAAAAGAGUACCAGUCUAUUACAAUAAAAAAAUGAAGAACAAACUCAAGACAGGAACAACGAGAAGCACGAGAGGAUGAUAAAACAUCUAACCCGAAAAAAAAGACCCAAACCAAAGGAGCCUGACAAAUCCGGAGCCAGUACCAGCGCACCAGGAAACUGAAAAAGUUCUGGAGAAGCCACUUCGACCCAAGCACGCCAACCAUCCAAAAGAAACGACUACCACACCCACACCUAGGCCAAGAAAUAUAUAAUAUUGUGAAUAGUUCCCAUGGGAUCGAAACAGACCACCAAAACAAGAAAAAACCUCUAAGAGCAGACUACUCAUUGCCUGCCUGCCUAGUAUUCGAUGAAAUACCCAAACCAGAAAUCAUAGCAUAAAGCAAAAACCGCCACAGCUGGGGAGCGAAGAGCAGAAGGCCACCAAUAAGAUACAUUAGGAUUGCGCAAAGUCUGACAAAGAAAUCAGAAAACUUACCAGACCACUCUAGUUAAUGUAAUCUAUACAUGUCCGCACAUGAAAUUUGGUCAAGUUAGAUACACUAAUCUCAAAUCUAUUUAAUUAACAAAUUGAUUGAUUGAUAUUUUUUUCUGAGAGAAAUUGAUUGAAUAAUUUUUAGACUUCAAAAACUAAUAGUUAAUUGAUUGUUUAGAUAAGAUUAUUAUUACACUUUUAUAUAGAGAUAAUUAGUACUUGAGAUAUGUGCAAUUUACGCAUUCUUCUCUCGAGACAAAAUAAAUAUUAUUGACCAUUGAGAACUCUGCUACCACUACUCCAGUUCUAUUUAUUAUCAGUGUGCCCUCUCGCGCGCUGCACGGGUCACAACAUAUUUGAUUAUUUAAUUUUAGCUGUUUACGCAUACUUCGCUCGAGACAAAAAUAAAAUAAGAUUUAUUGAUCAUUGAGAACUCAGUACCACACCAUACUCGUGUAUACUAUAAUAUUUAUCAUUGUUUAUGAUUAUUACGUGUCUUCGCCGAUAAAUUUAAUAUUCAUUCCUUUAAUUUUUUUCUAUUGACAUUGGAAACUGUCUUGAUUCUUUUUUGGCCAUAUCAUAUAUUUAAAAAAUUGGGAGGGGAACGUGGAAGUUGAAUCUGAAAUAAGAAUCAAAUGAUACAUGUGUACUUUCAAAGAUAAAACGCAAAAUAUAUCAUUUUUUUGUAAAACAUAUAAAUUCUACUAUUUAUGAUUAUUUUAAAUUUAUAUAAUCUAUAUUUGUAUGUAUAUAUAUUCUCCAUUUGUUCAUGAAAAAGAGUCUCAUUGUAUGCUGAAUACGAGUUUUAAUAAAAUGGUUGUAAGUGUGAAAUAAAUGUAUAAUUUGUAAGAGUCUUUACAUUAGAUUAUAUUUUACUCUCUUCGUCCUAUUGAUAAUGACUCACUUUUCUUUUUCGUCUGUCUCAUUGAUAAUUGCAUGUUCCAAAAAAACUGAAACCAUUUGACCUCACAAAAUGUUGUGGGCUCCACUACUUUUUAUCACUUUUAUCCUUUAAUUACUAUUCUUAUUAAUAACCGUGUCGAACAGUAAUGAACUAUUAUCAAUGGGAGGGAGGGAGUAAUAUUUUAAUUUUGUUUGCUGCCACCACCACCACCACCACCACAAUUUAAAAAAAAAAAUCUACGUGAAUAUAGUAAUUAUUAGAACAAAAAAAUAACUAUAAUAAUAAUAUAUUAAUCCGUUAAUUAUCUAUACUAAUAUAAAAAGUGCAUUUGGCACAAAAUAUAUAUUGCCUGUUAUAUCCCUAUUAUAGUAUUUUAUUUGAAGGACAACUUUGUAAAUUAUAUAUUAUAUAUUUAUAAGAAUAUAUUAUUUCAUUAGAUAUUACACUAAAUAUAUUUGAUAUAUAUCUAGAUCUUAUGCUAUAAUUUUUUUUAUAUUAAUUAAUUAUUAUAUAUUGUGAUUUAAUAGAAUUAUACAACUCUAAUAAUUUAUAAAUGUAAAGUUCAGGGAUUGCAUGCAAUGCACACAUUCUAUGCUAGAAAAAAAAUAGAAUUCACUAAGCCGAUGAUAAAUAACACAUACAACGUACUAUUUCUGCUAGUAAAUUAAAAAUCUAUAUGAUUUUAUCUUCUAUCACUACAUUAAUUAAAAUCUAUCUUCCGUUUCAUAUUAACGGUGGUUUUUCAAUAUUUUUUAUAUUAAUUACUACAUAUUGUGAAUUUAUUACAAUUGUUAACCUCUAACAAUUCAUUAAUAUAAAGUUGAUGGAUUGUGUGUCAUGCACAAACUCUCCUGUACUCAUCUAAAAGACUCUAUAUGUGAGAAGAAACCGCAGGAGAGUAAAAUGGUACAUAACAUAGAAUAGAAAGACUUUCACAAAAUAAAUGUUACAUUCUUCCCGUAGUCGGAAGGAGCAUGAAAAUGCGCGGUUAUUCGCAAGAAAGAAAGGCUCACUCAGCCACACAAAACAUGGAAAUCCUAAACACGGUGAUGCAGAGAUCAAGCGGUAACACGCGGGAUGAUCUUAAUACCACCGAUGGUAACAUCGUCGCCAUUAAUGUGGGGAACGAUAGUGACGACAAUGAAAUCAUCAUCAGCAAUAUUAAUGUUCUCAUAGAGUUCCUUCAGGUUCAAGUGAAGGUCGUUGGAGCUUUCCGUGGCCCUAACCCUGUGCGGAAUCUGCGUGAAGCACCCGGCGUACUCGGCCCUAUCGAGCUUCUGUGGCGUGUCGUCUGCAUCAUUCACGAACACAUCGAACCUCACGAGCUUCAAGCUAUCGCAGAUUAUGUCCUCCAGCACCAGCACUUCGUCGGCUUUGCCUUUGGUUGGUUUGGGCACCACAACCCUAUGAGGCUUAUUGAGAGUGAGAGGGAACACAUUGUCUCCGGUCUCCGCCGUCUUGGCGAGAUCUUCGGUAUUGACCGGUUCCGGCCGCUGAGGUGGCCGGCAGGUCAUCCAUGGUGUAUGGCUAUAUUCAUACUCGUAUCCCAUUUUUGUGUGGUCCAAGCAGUCGGCGACCUUAACGCGCACCAGCUUCCUCUUCUCGUUGUAGAACAUGAAGGAGGCGUUGUUGAAGUCGUCGGGGUUGGGGACGACGAGCUCGUUGAUAUCCUUCGGGAAAACGGAUGGGAUCGUUUUCCAUAUAGUCCACAUUCUGUCGACGUUAGCGUGAUGUGCGUAGAAGAGAGGGUCUCUUCCGGCGGAGUAGAAGUUCCCCAUGUCUUCGCGGAAAUUGUUGGCGGGGUUUCCGGUCCAGACAGCCGCCCUCCGACAAUCCUCCCUUGGAGCGUGGCGGGGGCAAGUCUCCGUCAACGUAAGGCUCGCCCAUGAAGUUGGUAGCGGAUUCGACAUCACCAACCAUUUCCUUGUACAGCUGAUUGAGGUUGUUGGAGAUGAUCUGUACGGGAUCGGUGAUCGGGGGGUUGGUUAGGGCAAGAGAAACGAUGGCCGGGGGCCGAUGCGUCGGGUCGCGGUUGACGUCGUAGAGUGGCGACGCGUCCCUGUCGAACAUCGAGGGCAUCUGCAUGCCCCUAGGGUUGUCCCAGUUCCAGUAGGGCAGGGCGAAAUCGAGAUCUCCGAUGAAUUCGCCCAUGAUUCUCUCGAAGAAAUAGAGGUACCACCUGUGUAGGGAUGAAUCCAGAAUUUGUCGUUAGGGGGGCUAAAUCUAAAAGUAUUUGCAGUGGGGGCUCCCGUCCGCAAGACAAUUUUUUUUAACCAUUCCGUAUAGAUUUAAUUGGCUUAACAUUAGAAAUCAGUCACUUACUAUAAAAAAUAGUUGUUCGCAUUCCAUUAAUUCAACAACAAGUACAUUUAAAGCAUAUACAAACCUACCUCUGUGCAAUUUUUUAAAAUAUUAUUUCGACUUCUAAAAGAAUAAACUAAUUUUCAUUGUUAAUUAAUAGUUCAAAAUUUUAGUUUAUCUUGAAGAUUAACUCAAAUUAAAUAUUCAAUAUUACCUAAUUAAACAAAAAUGAGACAAAAAUAACACAAAUUUUUAACAAACUAACCUAGCAAAUCACUGUAAAAUGUUAAGCAAUUCUUUCUUGUAUUUCUUCUAUAUAUUAAAAACAAAAAAAUUAGGGAGGGGGCUUCAGCCCCCGUGGAUCCGCCACUAACCUGUGGAAGGGGAAGAAGAUCCAUGAGUUGUGAACCUGGAUAUCGAUGCCGGGGUGGUCCACCUGGUCGUAGGGGCCGUUGCAGUAAGCGCAGUGGACGUUGGCCUGCUGAGUGAAGCCGCGGGGAUCGUUGGGGUCCGUCACGUCCAGAUCCUUCAUCAUCUGGAUGGCUUUCUCGUACUUGGCUAUGUAUUCCGGUGUCAGCCUGUGCGCCGCCGGCCUCCUGCGAAGCUUUGUGAACGUCGGAAGCGUGUACUCUUCCUCGUCGUCCGUGUAGGGCGGGCAGCAGUUGGCGUCUAGAGAUAUUAUCUCCCCGUUUCUAGAAGUAUAGGCACCUUUGGGAUCACACUUGCUCAGGUCAGGAGGUGAAAUCGGAACCGCCUCAGCUUUGCGGAUGAGGCCGCUUGCGCCGUAUAGACCACCCAGACCAAGCAGCAUGUUUCUGCGGUCUACACGGCCGCCGCCGCCUCCAUCACUGCUGCACGACACCUCAAAGCGGCGCCUCCGCCUGCUGGCGAGCUGGGAGGUGGUGCGGAGGUUGGGGUUGGUCGUGGUCGCCAUCACCAUGAAUGAAGAUUGAAGGGAAGCCAUGCUUGAUUGAUUGAUGCUUGCAUUGCGCUCGAGGCAUGCAUGUCUAUAUAUAGUAGGCGUGGACACGAGUUUUAAGAAAAAUAAUGAUACUUAAUGGGAUUAUUUUCGAAAAUGAAUUAGGAAGAUGUUUUGGAGACGAAAAUAGAAAAUUGACCUUUUGCCAGGCUGCCCUUUCACUAAAUGGUUGUAUGCACUUAUCUUUUUUUUAUCUAUAAAGAGGUAUUUUCUCCAUUUAAAAAACUUAUCGAGGUAAUUAUGAAGACUAUUCAUUUUUAUCGUUGUAAAGUUAAUUAAAUUAUAAAAAUUAAAGUUGAUAAAGUUCUUAUUAAACAUCAUCGCUCUUCUGUCUUUGGACGACAAAAUUAAUUAUUUCAAAUAGAUAAAGAACUUGAUUUUCCGAUAUGGCUUCUCAUACUAAUUAAAUAAUCUAAUCCUAUAAUGUAUUUCAUAUAAAGUUAUCAAAUUAACAAUAUUCUGUGUGAAUUUUUUUGCCUUGAGUGUGUGUAUAGAGGUAGUCAGGGCCGGCCCUGAGGGUGGGCGGGCAUGGGCGACGGCCCAGGGCCCCAAAAAUUUGAGGGCCCAAAAUUUUUAAUAUAUCCUAUUAAUUAUAGAUCUUAUGUAUACUAACAACAUAGUUCAUCUAUUGAUUUUGGGCCCAACAUAAUUUAUUCUCAAAUUUAGAUCUAUACUUAAUAUAGAGAGUUUUCAAUUUGAAAUCAAUUUCAAAGUAAUUUCAAAAUUGAGUGACUAUUUUGUAGUUAUAAUAUUAAUAAAAUUGAAGGUUUAUGUUUAAACUAUAUAUUUUUAUUUUUAUUUUUAUUUUCAUUUUCAUUUUCUUUAACUUCUUAUUUGUUGUUACAUUUCUUUCCAAAAUUGUGAAAUUCAAUUAAUUAUAAAAUAUUUAAUAUGCAUAUCAAAUUAAAGAUCACAAUAAGAGUUUUAAUAUGAUAUAUUUUAUGAAAAAUAUUUGAUUUAAAAUGUAAAAUUUAUGCAUGUUCAAAUAUUAAAGUUUUAUAAAUUUCUCUCACCUCUCUCAUCUUUACGAAUAAAUAUAUUUUUAAUUCUUUUAAAUUAGUAUUUUAUUUUUAAUUUUUUUAACUUAUUUUUUUGUUUUUGUAUUUCAUAAUAUCAAAUUUUAUAAUUGUGAAUUCUUUUUUUAUUUUUUUUAAUAUUCAAUUCAAAUAUAUAUAAUUAAAAUUAAUUUUUUAUUAUAUUUAUAAGUAUAAUAAUUAAAUUAGUAUUAAUUUUAUAUAAAUAGUAAAAACAAAAAAUAUUUCCCGUGCAUGAGAUGCAAAUGGUAGUUGCACCUCGCCGCCGGUAAUAUAUUUAAGUAUAUAAAUUAAUUAAUAUUAACAAGGCGCCCGGUGAUCACCGGAGGCAUCCUUGCCGCUGGUAUUUCUGCCGCUACUUUGAAAAAUACGGCCGUCGGUAAAUCUGGCCGCAAAUUGUGUACGUUUUUUGGUAGUGGUAAUAUAUUAGGGCCCAAUUUUUUAAUUUCGCCCAGGGCCUCAGUUUUGUCAGGACCGGCCCUGGAGGUAGUUAUAGAAUUUAUCUUUUGUGUUCUCAAAGGAACUUAAUUAAGAUCCAAUGUGAUUGAUACAUUUCGACUAAAUGGAUGGGCAAGAUUCUUUUAACGCCCAAUAUUAAUUCCAUCUCAAAUCGGAUCUUAUAUAAUACUGUAUUUUAUAUAUUCUAUAAUGCAUUUUAUAUAUUACGUGUCUAUUAAAUUAACAUUGAUCUUAGGAGUGAUACAAGUUUAAAAAAAAGCUAGCUGUAUAUUUGGUGAGUAGAGAAGGGAUUUCAGAAAUUAGAAAAAAUGGUGAUAGGUAGUGGAAUUAUUUUAAAAAAUGGACUAAAAAGAUGUUUCAUGAACGAACGAAAAUGGCAAAAUAGGAAGAUGAGUCGUGGUCGGAGGAAAUAUUAUAAUGCAUCGUAUCCUUUUUUGGUUCGUAUAAAGAUUUUUAUUUGAUCCUCAUCGAGAACAUGCAUAUUGCGAAUACUUAAUUUAUUUCAAUAUAUAUAUAUUAAUUUAUUGGGAGCAUAUGCUAAAUAAAUUAAAUUAAUCCGAAUCAAAAGCGCUUAAUUAUCACUACAUUACAUGCAUUAUGACAAAAAGCCUGCGGCUAAAGAUCUUCAGUUUAAGUCUAUUGUCAUAUUGUUUUUAAAAUAUUAUUUAUCCAUUCCGCAUAUGGAUUGGUCAGAUUUAGAUACACAAAUCUCAAAUGUAUUUAAUUAACAAAUUGAUUGAUAAAUUUUAGAAUUCAAAAAUUAAAUCAAUCAAAUACGCGUGUCCACAGUCAAUGGAUUGAAAAUAUGCAGGUAUCUAGAUAAGAUAUAUUAUUAUUAUUAUUACACUGUUAACUAUACUGCAGUACACUUUUAUAUAUACAGACAUAAUUAAAAUAUGCAGGUAUCUAGAUAAUAAGAUUAUUAUUACACUAUUAACUAUACUGCAGUACACUUUUAUAUAGAGAUAAUUACUAGAGAUAUGUGCUAUUACCCAUACUUCGCUCGAGACAGAAAUAAAUACGAUUGACCAUUCAAUUAAACACUACGACACCAUACUCGUGCAUGUACUAACGAUCUUAUUAUAAGUGCACCUUCCCGUGCGAUGCACAGGUCAGUAGAAUUGUAAUCGAUAUUGAUGUGAAUAUCAUCAUAUUCGAUUCGUAUUUGUGAAAAUACUCUAAUAUUUGAUUCAGCAUUCGAUUCGAUCACGAAUACUAAAUACGAUCCCAUAUUCGAUUCGAUGUUAUUUUUGAAUUAUUUGAUACAUUUUUUAAAAUUAAUUAAAUAAUUUUUUUACGAAUAUUCGAUUCGUUUUCCAUCAUAUUCAAUUCAAAACUAUUCGAUUUGAAAUUCUGAAGGAAAAAAUAUGUUAAAUAAUAUUCUAAAAAAUAUAGGAUUAUAUCCAAUAUAUUUACCUAAUAAUUAAACACACAAUAAUAAAGUGUUCAAUUCAUAUUGUUUUAUGUCCCGUGGUUUGUUUCUAGGAUUGUGGUAAUAAAGACUGAUUGGAUCAGUCUAGUACAGUUGUUGUUUGAAUUUGUAAUUUUGUGUAACGGCAUUGUCAUCUUGUUGAGAUUAAUAGGAGUUAAUUUGUUUAAUUAAUUAUUCAUGAGUUUCUUAUAAGAUACCUUCCUUCGUUCCGUAAAAAUAGUCAUAAUUUUUCAUUUUAGAACGUCCAUAAAAAAAUAGUGUUAUUCCAUUUAUAAACAAUUUAGAUCCUUACCUUUGGGAUGAGAUAAAAUGAAAUUCCAUUUUAAAUCAUAAACUAGCUAUAUAGGAAGCAUUUUCAGCUCUUGAAUUCAUCUGUUGUUCGAAUUUCAUAGGAAGCAAGUUUUUUUGACUCAUUAUUUUCACAGCGAAUUCAUCAUGUUACACAUACCCUAAAGUGAUAUAUUUACCCUAUUUGAUAACAUGAUAAGUAUAUUUGAAGCGCUCACUAUUUUAUUUGAACUUUAUUAUCGAGUUUAAACGAGUUUUGAAAUAUUGAAUUAAAUUGAAAUAUCCAUGUUGAUCGUUUAAGAAGCAAAUUUUUGGCAUGGGUUUAUAAAAAAUACAUCCUAGCCUCCAUCCCUAAUAAGUGCGGUGUGAAGGAGUGGGCAAUAGUUCUUUAAAAAUAAUUGAGAGAUGUGUAUAAAGUGGAUAAAAUGGCUUACUAGAGCUGAUUUGUUAGGCCUUACUUUCUCUCUGCCCCACUAAAAUAAGCUCAAUUCUUUUGAGAACAUAGAUUAAUAAACUUUCUUUUGAGAAGAAAAUUAAAGUGGUGGCAAAAGUAAUGUGGUCCAUACCAAUUAAGCAAUUUGAGUACAUUUUUUUUUUCACUCAAAAGGAAAACGAGCCUAUUCUAGCGGGACAUUCCAAAAUAGAAAACGAGCAUAUUCUGCUGGGACGAGGGAAUAAUAAAUUGUUUGUGAGAUGAGUAGUUUGUAAAUAUUGUGUGUGAAAGGUGUAUGUCUUAAAUUGAAAAGACCAUACCUGUAUUGUGAUUGUACGGAAAGGUGGAACUGAGCAUCGCGGCGGCGGCGAGGCAGGAGGCGGCGGUGGUGAGGAGAAUCGAGAGAGAGAGAGAAAGAUGCCAGCAGACAGUGACGGAGGGCAGUGGGCGGCCCUUGGCGGCAGCGGAGACGACAAGGUACUGGCUGUGCCAGAAUUAUUUAGUUGCAUAGGAUCCUUCCAAAUGUAAUUACUGAUUCACUGUUGGAUUAACAAGAAUUAAAUUACUUCAUAAUACAGUAUUCCAACUGUUCGAUAAAAGCCCUUAAUGAAAUCUUCCAUAGAUUACUUUGCAAAGUUCAUAAAAUUACUCAAAAGCAUUGUUGCAUAGUCCGUACAUAGAGAUGGUCGAUUAUCUUAAUUAUGUCUAGAUUUAUUUACGACACACACACACACACAUCACAAAAUCACACAUACUGACUAAUAAGGUUCCCGAAAGCCGGCAUUAUUAGGCGCCAUGGUGGCCGUGAAAUACCAUGAGACGAUAUCAUGGGUGGUGGGUCCGUCUAGUCUGGUGGCGGCGGAGAGCCCUACCUGAACCUGCUAAGGAAGAAAGCCGCUCAAAUCAUACUCAUAGCUGACUUCAAACGUCUUCGAGCCGGCGGUGGCACGGACGGCGAUCUACUUUGUGGAGGCGGCGUAGUUGAUCCUCGCCGUCACCUGCUGCUCGAGUAUGGAGCCGUCGACCUCCGUCGUGUUUCGGGAUGACCUAGACCCGAUGUCGAUGCCGAUGUGGGGAUAGUUCGGAUCCCACGCGCUGUUGACGUAGGUGUCGAACUCGACGGCAAAUACCGAGGGGUUGCUGCCGGAGGAGCCGAAGAUUCCGAGGUUGGCCCCGCUGGAGCCGGUGGGGAUGGUGGAGCGGCGAGAUUGGUGAUGCUGGGUGUGGUGAUGAAGUUUACGGUGGUUUCAAAGUCGACUUGGCCACCGGCUUGGGAGAAUUGGACCGGGUUCGUGUACAAGACCCGGCCGACACUACCGAUCUGCGGUCGCCUUGGUAGGUGAGGUCGGUCGGCUGGUUGUCCCAGAAGUUAUAGGCGAAGGCCGUUGAUCGGGACUUCGCCCUGUUGGUGGCGACGGCGAGAAGAAGGGCGAUGGAGAUUAGGGUUUGGAGAAGGUUGGCCAUGGCUUAGUUGUGCAGUGAAUGAUGUCUACUACUUGCUCCUAUUUAUAAUGAUCGAAAAUAUCUACUACUUACCUACCACAGAUCCACAUCAGGGGCCCUGGAUGGGGUGGUCGACUACAUAAGCCCAAAAAAAUAAGGGCUCGGAAAAUAUAUAGAUCCAUGUAAGUAUUAUAUAUAUGUAUAAAAUAAUUAAAAGCCAACUAAUGAUUGAAUUGAUUAACUUGGCGCAGUGGAAAAAGGACAUUUUUAAUUCCUCUUAAUUACCAAUAUUUUAUUUAGUGACCAAUUUUUUUGUUUAGAUAUAGGGCCCAGCCCCUAUUUUGAUAAAUUAAGUGUAUGUAUUUCAAAUUAACAUUAUUUUAAGUUGUCGAAUUUUUUUGUUAAGAUUUAGGGUCCAGCCCCUAUUUUGUUAAAUUAACUUUAUUUUAAGUGAAUGACAUAAUUAUUAAUAUAUUUAUUAAUUAUUAUGUAAUUUGAUAAAAAAAUGUUUUAAAUAAUUUUAGUUUAUAAUUAAUUUAUUUCUCAAUUAUAAAUAAAUGGCCUAAAUUAAAAAAUUCGCAAAGGGCCUAUGUUCUCUUAGCCCUACCCUUGCACUGUUGCACAUGGUAUAUAUAUCUAUUCUAUGAAUAUAAGUGAUUAUUUUAUAAACCACGUGAAAGCACUUGUUCCCACUAGCACUAUAAAAGCAAUAAAUACAACGGAAAGAAAAUAAAUUACAAUUGAAUACAUUAGGAGAAAAAUUACUUCUAACCUAUGGAAUUACUAACAACGAUACUUAUACCAAAGCUAAAUUGGACCAACUAACUGUACACUCUUGUAUUAUAUCAACCUACCAGACCUUAGUAUUCACGAGUCUCCCACAGUCUAGACUGAUUCACAAUAUAUACCAACAUUGGAACAAGUUCAGUAAUACACUCUAUUUAUAUAUAUUAUUAUAUACACAAAAAUGCAUGGCUGCUGUGGUAUUACGGAAGGAUCGAGAAUUACUCGAUCCUUGGGAAAAGGUUCAAAUGAAACCUUUAUUAUUACUCUCCGUCCCCCAAAUAAUAUCAUAUCCGAUUUGGGAUAUUACCCCACCACUAAUAAUACUUUAUUUAUUCUAACUUCUCAAUCUUUCACCAUUCUCAAUACUAAUUAUAACACAUUUUCAUCACUUUCAAUACUAAUUAUAAUUUCUUUUCUCCACUGCUAAUACGUACACUUAACAAUUUUUCCUUAAAACCAGUGUCGUCCCCUACUAAGAAGUUAUUUGGGGGACGUAGGGAGUAUUUUUUAAUGAUAUGGCAUCCAAAUAUGUUGUGACAAUCCAGUGAGCAAUAUCAACUUUUUGGAGCUGAAAACCGAUGUGAGGUACAACUAAUACACAAUAUGUUGUGGCAAUCCAGUAAUAUACCCUAAGGAUGCGUCAUCUUUUGUUGUAAAUUUAUCAUGGAAAAAUGAGGGAUAAACAAAAUUUCACCCAUUAAAUCCUUCAUUUUUUCCCUCAUUUCUUACAAAAUAGAAUUUGACCCUUACUCAUUUCUCAUUUUCACUGCAAAGGGGGGCUAAUAUUAUCUCUCUAUUUUUGGUAUAAUGAAGAAUUUGAUACGUAAUUACAAUUAAUUAUAAUGAAGUGUGUAUUUUAGUUGCUCAUAUUCUUGGAUUAUUUAUGCUUUAAUGAAACGAUCCACUGCCUUUAACAUUUUGGCAUUUUAAAGUAAACGCCGAAAUGCAACGAUCCACUGCCUUUUAAGUAAACACCCUUGCUAACCCCUGCAUGCGUUUUUUCAUCAAACACUUGGGUUCAUUCUUUUAGGCAUUUUAUCAAACAGUUGUGCUCAGCCUCAUCCUUUUGAUCACAUUCCCAUAUCUCUCCUUAUAUGAAACCGCAUUUUCUAUUUCUCAUAUAUUUCCUAUAUAAUAUUUCCAUCAUUUCUAGCUCAACAAUAAUUCUUCUAGCAAAAUUAUCAUUUCAAAUGCACUCUUUUCCUUUUCUACUUUCUCUUCUGCAUAACAGAAAUACUAAUCCACCAUAAAAUAAUCAUAACUUUUUCUUAAUGAUACGAUGAGGGCACAAAGUUGAGAUGAUAAAAUCAUACAUAUUGGCGAAUGUUGCCGCCGGCUUCCUCUGACUUUUGGAUGCUGAGGGGAGGGGUGGCGGUGAAAUACCAGGAGUUGAUGAUGAAUUUGAUGGUUGUUUCCAUGUCCACCUGCCGCAGAGACCGAGAUACGAUUUUAGAAACAAACGGCAAAAUUACAAUUUCACAUAUAAAAAAUAAAAGACAAUUAAUAAAGCGCAUAAUAUUGGUAAGAUGCUUCCAACCAAUAGGUCGGGAUUGUAUAUCGUGUGAGUGUGUUUUUCAUUUUUUAGUAAUAACAUGUCGUGCUCGGGGCUUUUUUCCGUAUCUGCCCCUGCUUCCCGUCGUCGUGCCCGACUCGUCGGUUUUUGUCAUGCGGAGGUAGGUGGUGGCGUCGGUGAAGUUGGCGUCGCCUUCCAAGCGUAGGCCUUCCGAAUGUGGCGGCUUUUGGUAGAAGUCGUAGGUGAAGGAGACUGCAUCGCCGACCGACACGGUGGCGAGGAGGAGGGCGAUGGAGGAGAGGAGAGGAAUUAAGGUUUGGAGAAGGUUGGCCAAUUUGAUUAAAUGUAUUUGGAUGUAGUGGAUGAUGGUGUAUCGAUCUCUUGCUCCUAUUUAUAGUUGUAAAUAUAUAUUAAUAAUGGUAUCAUUCAAUCAUUAUACUUUAGGCCGGCCGGGCCGGAUCCUCUAUUCCAAAUUCUAUGUCUCAUUGUUCAUAUUCACUAUUAAUUUCACUAUUUCAAUAAUUAAAAAAAUUCAUAGAGUUUGGGGCAGAGGAUCCCGUUUGAAUCCCACAUGGAUCCUCUGUCCCAUAACUUAUUGUGUUCCUUCCCAUUAUUAAUCUCGAUAUUAUAUUUCUACUUUGGAGUUAAUUCAUUAUAAACCCAUGAAAGAUCAGACGAAAUUCAUCCAAUAAACAUUUAUAAAUUUAUAUUUAAAUUUUGUUUCGCGGGUAUCUGAUAGAUAAUAGGUAUUCGUGGGUGGCGAAUUUGGGUAGCAUUUGAUAUUCAUAGAUAGUUUCAUGAUUAAAAUCCAAUAUUCAUUUAGUUCACGGGUAUGGUAUGACAGCCACUAUCUGUGUACGUCAUACCUGAUUGCCAGUAUGACAAAUAUAAAAGUUGUGAGAUGCACAGCAGCUUAAUUAUUCAAAUAGAAAUAUCAUCACAUGUGCAUUGAUAUUUCACAAAAUAAAUACUACUACUAAUAAAUACUCCCUCCGUCCACCAAAGAUAUGCCACUUUACUUUCGGUACGAGUUUUAAUAAAAUGUGAGUGAAGUUGGUAGUGGAGUAAGGGUCCCACUUUAAAUGUGAGUGGAAUGGUAUGGACCUUACUACUAAAAAUGGAUGUGGCAUAUUUUUCGUGGACGAACGAGAAAGAAAAUUGUGGCAUAUCUUUGGUGGACGGAGGGAGUAGUACUCAUUGAUAAUGCAUGCCAACACAUGGUUCUUGCAAGUCAUAUAUAUACCUCAUCAGCAAUAUAGUAAAAUGAUGAUUUGACAACCAGAUUAAGACACCAAUUAUUCUUGUCGGGACACAGACAUAUAUGCAUAUAGAAUUAAUAUUAUUUACUAUUUCGUUUAUACACGUGAAUUAUGCUUUGGAUGCAACAUCGCCACGUCUCUUUCAUUUAUACUUCUCUAGUGUAUUGCGGACAAAAUAGUUAGUGUCUUUAAGAAAUUAAAAAUUUUCAAAUACAUAAGAAAGAAUAAUUAAUCUAAUUGGUGCGCCGGCAACUAAAACUUUUUUCAAUUCACUUUAUAUUUUAUAUACUCCCUCCGUCCACGAUUUAAUGCCCCAUUUUAGUGUGGGCACGGAGACUAAGAAAACUGAAAAAGGUGAUGUGAAUGAAAUAUAAGGGUAGUUGACUAAAGUGAUAAAGAUGCUGUGAGUGGGUUCACUAGUGAUAAAGUAUAGGAAAUAUAGAAUAUAAAAAUGAUAAAGGUGUUUUAAGUUGGGUCCAUUAGUGGCAAAGAGUAAUAAAUAUAGAAAAAGAAGAGUAAAAAAGUACAAAAAGCAUAAUAGGGCUUUAAUUUGUGGACAAAAAAUUAAGAGCAAGUAGGGCUUUAAAUUGUGGACGGAGGGAGUAUUUAACAUUACAAGUCAAUUGCUUGCAGAAUUUGAGCUUGUCUCCCGUGAUGGAGACCUCACCAUGCGGCAACCCGUGCCUGCGCCUGCCUUUUUUCUUCCCGUCUUGCUCUAUCCAGAUAUUAUACGUGAUCCAACUCUUUCCAGAUAUUAUACGUAAAUGAUAAUUUUACUAACAAAAAUUACACUUUUUAUCAAUAACAAAUGAAACUAUGCAUACAAAACAGGAGGUAAAUGAUAUUUUUCUUAAUAACAACUGAUACUUUUUCAAUGCAAAUAAUACUUCGCAAAUGAUAUUUUAAUAUAAAAGUAAAUGAUACUUUGUAUAAAAAUAAAUGUUAUAUUACAAAUGACACUUUUAAUGCAUACCAAUGACACUUUUAAUAACAAAAAUUGAGAAAAAAAAAUUAGAAUUCGGCCUUAAUUAAAAUUUGGACAACAUUUAUUUGGGCAAAGAAGAAAAACACCUGAAUUUUUUUUUUUCCUUUUUUGAGAGAGAAAAACUCAUGAAAUUUCAUGCAAAAGGUAAUGCAUAGCCAACCGGGCUCAAUCAUCUUUCGGCGGUUUUGGUUUGAUUCUUCCAACAUCUAGGGUAGCAUUCACACAAAAUCAACUCGUGUUCAAAAAUCUGAAAUUAAAAUUAACGAUGUGUCUCAGUAUAGAGAUAAGAACAUACCCCUCAAAUGGUUCGAGCCAAGGUCUAAUUCCUUCAGCAGUGUGAUAUUCCAAAUUUGAGUAGGCAUAUAUCCGCCAAAGUUGUUGUCUGACAAGCGAAUACUCUCAAGUUGUGGACAUUGGUACAAACUCGAUGGUAUAUCUCCUUCCAAAUUGUUAAAGGAUAGGUUCACUAGUUUAAGUCUUUGAAGGUUAUUGUACGUGCNUAGACAACAAGAAAUAUCUAUUGUCUAUUCUAUGACAAAAAAAUUAAAAAAUUCUAAUAUAUCUGCAUCCCUGUAUUACAAUACCAAUAUAUAUGAAAAAAUAAAAAUAAUUAAAAAUCAAAUAAUCAAACAAUACUUAUAAACCACUAAUACUCACAAUCAAAUAUUUACACAUCAGUGUAAAUAUUGGGUUCGAGUCCUCUGCGUGUGUUGAUCAAGCGGUAAGGGGUUAAUGCCUAAGGUCAAAGGUCUGGGAUUCGAGUCCCCUGUGGUGUAGCCUUUUAAUUUCGUUAUUUAAUAUUGUAAAUUUAUAAAAAAAAAAAAGUAUAUUUACACAUCAACAAUUGUAUUAUCUUUAAUACGCCUUCAUUCAUCUAAUAAAAAAAAUCUCUAAUAAAAUCUCCAACUAACUCCGGUCAUGAUCAUCUCUUGAAGGCGGAGGAAGGUGGAGUCCGUCGGGAAAUGGGUACUGCCUUGAUAGAUGAGAUCUUUCGGCUGGUCGCCCCAGAAGUCGUAGGUGAAGGACGUCGUUUGGGACAACGCCGUGUUGGAAACGGAGAGGAGGAGGACGAUGGAGGAGAGGAGAGGAGUUAAGGUUUGAAGAAGCUGGUUGGCCAUGGCUUAAUUGAUUUAGAUUUAGAGAUGUGGUGGAUGAUGGUGGUAUCGAUCUCUUGCACCUAUUUAUACUAGUAUGGUUCAUGCCUGUUAAUAAUUGUAUAUAUCAAUCAUCGUGCAUCUAUCCCAAAUUAUAUGUCUUAUUAUUCACUAAUUAGAUGGAUUAAAUCCUGAUUAGUAACCAUAAAAUUAAACUGUCAAUGAGGCCUUGCUCUAGUGGCAAAGCUGUGACACCGAAUAACUUUUCUUUGUGAAAUGUCUUGGGUUCAAUCUCGCCUGCAUGCGGUGAUGUGUGUCCAUUUUAGGUGGUGUGGUAUUCUUGUCUGCGUGCGGUGUUGUAUUGUUUAGUGUUGAGGUCCCACAUGCAGAGCGUUCUUGCCUGUGUACGUGUCACAGCCCAAAACCAUUUAUUUUCUUUACAAAUUUUAUAUAUGAAAAUUAUUUAAUUUUUAAGUUAUAGAGUUUUUGAAAUAUAUAUAGUAUCAAUUUUAUGUUAACUUAGUCGUGUCCCUAAUUAAAAGAAUGACUUUAAAAUAAAACUUAAGCCUUAAAAAUUUAAUCUACAUUCAUAUAUAACUGAAAUUACAUGCAUGUCUAAAUAUUAUUUAUAAUUAUCAAUAACAAGAUUAAUGAUUCUAUAUCUCUAUGUUUAUACAUGUAUUCACGUAUGACAUAGUAUAUAUUAGCUAUUAAGUUAAAAACUAAUAAAAUACUACACUUUUGCAUAGGAUAUAUAUUUAAUUAGUAGUAGGAUAGGACACGUGUAUUAAUUUUAAGGGCAAGUAAUCAAACUUUUGAAUGAUUCAUCAUGCUUAAAAAAAAAAGAGACCUAGAUAGAUGAUUCAUCAGAUUCAAAAACAAGUAUAAAUAGACUUCGGGUUUGAAAUUUUAAUUAAUUUGCAACAACAAUUCAAACUGACUGUAUUAAGGUAAGUAGUUACAGAUUUCAUACACAUAUUAUAUGAUUUCGCACACAUAUUAAGGUAAGUAUAUAUAAAUAUUUUUUAAAAUCAUAUAUUAUAUAAUAAUUAUAUUUAAGUUUUAUAUUAUUCUUUAUAAACUAUUGUUUCAUUCUAUAUAAUUAGGUGUGGCACGACUAGGACGUAACUUUCUAUUGAAUUUCUCAAGUUAAUCUUAGAGUUCAAGUUUCAGGUGUGAGAUUUAUUUAAAUACAUGUCGUACGUGGUUAUUUAUUGUCCAUUUUAAUAAGAUGUGUUUACCAUAUGUGUUAUGACGCAUAUUUUUAGGAUAUCACUAGGUGCCCAUAAAUAGGAUCCAGGACUUCACCGUCCUUGGAUUGCCACAAUGCGAUUUGAGGUUUAUUUUGAGGAUGUCGUUAGGGGCCCGUACAUAGGGUCCAGGACUUUAAUAGUCAUUGGGUUGCCAUAGUGCAAAUAUUGAGGAUAUAUAUGAAGUGACCGUAUGUGUUACCGUUUCAUUAACGUGGACAAUGAUUGCAUGUUUAAGAGACAAUAACCAAUUUUUCAGACAUUUGUGAACAAAAUGAAGCAUGUUUAGAGAUCCUUAAUACAGGUGUACGAAAUGAUGGAUAAAUAAGUUUGUGAAACAAAUUUCACCAUACCUAACCCCACAAUUAUUUGCGGUCGAAUUUCCUCGUCACAGGAAAAAGAGAUGAUGACAAAAGGGAAAAAAUUAAUUAACAAAGUAGAAGAUGCAUGACAACUGUAAAAGAAAAAUAAUGCUACUAAUUAAAUAGUCCAAACUUCAUACGUUUCAUAUCAUAAGUGGCAGUUCUAUUUUUUUUUUUGCGAAUGUGAACAAAAUAACGAAUAAUUUUUAAAGUAAUAGUAAUAAGGAGAUGUGUUUUGACAGAAAACGACAUGAGCGGCCUAAAAAUAAGAGGGAAAAAGAUAAUCAUAUAAAUAUUCAAAAUCAAACGGAUUGGCAUGUAUUCAUCAUUUUUUAUUUUUUAUUUUGAUAAUUUAACAGUACUCCCUCCGUCCGUCAAAAGUAGACCACUUUGGUUGGGCACGGGAUUUAAUAAAAUUAGUGAUGAUUUUGAUGUAGUAGAGAAAGAGUUCCACCACUUUAUGAGAUGUGUGGUUGAGAUUGAAUUUGUUGUGAUUUUUUUGUAAAUAAAGAGUGUUUGUAAGGAUAAAAGAUUAAAGUGGGUGGUGGGACCAUUUCCAUAAAAGGAAAGUGGUCUACUAUUUGCGGACGCCCAAUAUAGUAAAAGUAGUCUACUUUUGGCGGACGGGGAGAGUAUUAAAUAAAUAAAUUUAAAGGUUGCACCCCUUACUGCUUGGCUUUUAGAUUAUGUUAUAAUAAUAAAAUUAACAGCACGUUUACAAUAUAAAAUUAAUUAUGAUAAAUACAAUAUAUUAAUAAUAAAUACUCAAUUACCUCUUAACAUAAUUCGCGCAUCAUGGCUUUUAGCUUAUAUUAUAAAGAUAUAAUAUGUUGUCUAUAAUAAUCGACGGAAGGUAAUAGACAACAUGUUUUAUAUGUUGUCUAUAAUAAUAUAGACAGUAGAUCUAGUGUUAUAGAUAACAAUUAAUACUUGUUGUCUAUAUGAUGAUAGACACCAAAAAUCUCUGUUGUCUAUUCUAUGACAAAAAAAUUUAAAAAAAUUCUAAUAUAUUUACAUCCCUGUAUUACAAUACCAAUAUAUAUGAAAAAAUAAAAAUAAUUAAAAAUCAAAUAAUCAAACAAUACUUAUAAACCACUAAUACUCACAAUCAAAUAUUUACACAUCAACAACUGUAUUAUCUUUAAUUACGCCUUCAUUUAUCUAUUAAAAAAAAUCUCUAAUAAAAUCUCUAACUAACUCCGGUCAUCAUCUCUUGAAGGCUUAGAAAAUGUCCAAAUACAGCGGCACAUGCUCAUUAUUGUGUGAGCGAUGAGAACUUUGCGCUGAACCUAUAAAGUAACUAUACUUAACUGGUAAAGUAAUUGUAUCCCGUGAAUCUAAAGGAAGACUACACACGUUGAUAGAGUUUGAAAGAAAAGAAUAAAGAGAAUGAAAAUCCAAAGAAUUUGCUUCUUCCGUUGAACAAUCCCUACACAACAUUGAAAUAUCAAUGAAAAUAAUGGCUAUCGUAUACUCCCUCCAUCCAUGAAAGAACUUCAUAGGAGGGAGUGACACGGGUUUUAAGAAAAAAUAUUGUUAAGUGUAUUGAGAGUGGAUAAAAGGUAGUUGAGUGUAUUGGGAGUGGUGAAAAUGUGUUAUAGUUAAUAUUGAGAGUUGUGAAAAGUGAAAAGUAAGAGGAUUAUAAGUGGUGGGGUAUAGUCCAAAAAUAGGUAGGAAGUUCUUUUGUGGACGUCCCAAAAAGGAAAGAUAUGAAGUUCUUUCGUGGACGGAGGGAGUAUUAUUUUGCAGCAGCAACCACGUUUGAAAACUCGAUCCCUCUGUUCUUGAAUUUGUGAAAUUUCCGACUGAUUUAUUAGAUUCACCAUUUAUUUCAGUUUAAUUAGUCUAUAUAUAGAUAUUUCUUAUAUUAUUAAAUUGUUAACCUCAUGGUAGAUUUCAAGAUUUGAAAAUUCAACAAAGAGCUUGAGAAUUAUUGAGAUUGGAAGGGGAAGAUGAAACAUAAUUGGGUGAAAUUAGAAACCAAUUAAAGUCACAAGAUUGAACAAAAACAUAACUUAAAAACACAAAAUAAGCAAAUCGUAGAUGCAGUAUCUUGCAAGAAAAAGUUCAUAUUCCCAAGGCUAUGAUGAGCACGAAUUAGGGUGUGUCUGCAUUUUAUCCCUCUAAAUAGAGGAAUAACAAAAUUUUAUUCUUUAAAUGUUUGCUUUCUUAUCACACAUUCUACACAAACACCAUUUUUUCUUCCUUAUUUUCACUUCAAGGAGGANUAAUAUUAUCCCUCCAAUUUUGGUGUGAUAAUAUUAUCUCUUCUUGAAGUGAAAAUAAGGAAGAAAAAAUGGUAUUUGUGUAGGAUGUGGGAUAAGAAAGCAAACAUUUAAAGGUAUAAAUUUUUGUUAUUCCUCAUUUAGAGGAAUAAAAAGCAAACACACAUUAGAGUCUACUUACAAUUUAGGCGCAGGCUGUGCGAGAAUUACUUAGUCGAAUAGGAUCCUAAGUAUUUAUAUUUCUCAUGUUCUUGUGUAUUUUUUUACUGAUUCACUAUUGGAUUAACAAGAAUUAUCUUACUUUAAAUUUCUUGCUUUAAAAAAAAAAAAGAAUUAUCUUACUUCAUGUAUGGUAUGCCAACUGUUCGAUAAAGGUCCUUUUAGAAAUCUUCUAUUGAUUACCUUGCGAAGACCACAAAACUAGACACACCCAAAAGCAUUCUUGCAUAGUUUAUACAUAGAGAUGGCCGAUUGAUGAUCGUCUUAUUUGUAGACUUAACGCGAGCAGACUCGAUCGCUUAGUCCUUAUUGAUUUACGACACACAUGCUCACACACACACAUACACACAUCACAAAAUCACACAAAUUGACGGAUAAUGUUGCCGUUCAGCUCCUUCCUGAACCUCACCGCGGCAUUUUUCUGCACCAUAGUGGCCGUGAAAUACCACGAGACGAUGUCAUGGACGGCGACGUGUUGUCCGGUGGCGGCGGAUAGCCCGACCUGAACCUGCUGAGGAACAAAGUCGCUCAAAUCGUACUCAUAGUUGACAUCAAAUGUCUGCGAGCCGGCGGUGACUUUCACGGAGAUCAUCCUUGUGGCUCCGACGUAGUUGAUCCGCGCAGUCACCUGCUGCCCGAGUAUGGAGUUGUCGACCUUCGUCGUGUUGCUGGAUGCCCUAGAGCCGAAGUCGAUGCCGAUGUGGGGAUAGAGCGGAUCCCACGCGCCGUUGACGUAGGUGUCGAUUUCGACGGCGAAGACCGAGGGGCUGUUGCCGUUGGAGCCAAAGAUUCCGAGGUUGGCUCCGUUGGAGCCAGGGGGGAUGGUGGAACCGACGGGGGCAAUGAAGAAGGCGAGGCCGUCGGCAGGCUCGUUGUCGGCGCCCGGGGUGAUGAUGAAGUUCACAGUGGUUUCGAAGUCGACCUGCCCACCGGACUGCGAGAAUUGGACCGGGUUCGAGUGCAAGACGCGGCCGACUUGUGAGGGCUGUGCGUCUGUGAGGCGGAGGAAGGUGGAGUCCGUCGGGAAAUGGGCGCUGCCUUGAUAGAUGAGAUCUUUCGGCUGGUCGCCCCAGAAGUCGUAGGUGAAGGACGUCGUUUGGGACAACGCCGUGUUGGAAACGGCGAGGAGGAGGGCGAUGGAGGCGAGGAGAGGAGUUAAGGUUUGAACAAGCUGGUUGGCCAUGGCUUAAUUGAUUUAGAUUUAGAUUUAGAGAUGUGGUGGAUGAUGGUGGCCAGGUAUCGAUCUCUUGCACCUAUUUAUACUAGUAUGGUUCAUGCCUGUUAAUAAUUGUAUAUAUCAAUCAAUCAUCGUGCAUCUAUCCCAAAUUAUAUGUCUUAUUAUUCACUAAUUAGAUGGAAUAAAUCCUAAUUAGCAAUCUUAAAAUUACACCGCCAAUGAGGCCUUGCUCUAGUGGUAAAGCUGUGGCACCGAAUAACUUUUCUUUGUGAAAGGUCUUGGGUUCAAUCUCGCCUGCAUGCGGUGAUGUUUGUCCAUUUUAGAUGGUGUGGUAUUCUUGCCUGCGUGCGGUGUUGUAUUAUUUAGUCUUAGGCGUUCUUGCCUGUGUGCAUAUCACUGUGUGACAAUUAAAAGAAUGACUUUAAAAUAAAAGUUAAGCCUUAAAAAUUUAAUCUACAUUCAUAUAUAACUGAAAUUACAUGCAUGUCUAAUUUUUUUAAUAUCAUAACAAGAUAAGAUUUAUUAAAUAAUUCAGAUGCAUAAAUAAAAAGUUAAUCUAUAAACACAGUAUAGAUAUAUUAUCAAUGAUAGGCCGUGUAUAAGUCUUAAUCUGUAAAACUAUAUCAUCCCAGCCUUAAACGACUACCAUUCCUGCUUUCCCAGAGCAACCACACUGUUCCCACCCACAAAGCUUUAAGCAGUACAUGCAUGUCUAAAUAUUAUUUAUAAUUAUCAAUAACAAGAUUAAUGAUUCUAUAUCUCUAUGUUUAUACAUAUAUUCACGUAUGACAUAGUAUAUAUUAGCUAUUAAGUUAAAAACUAAUAAAAUACUACAGUUUUGCAUAGGAUAUAUAUUUAAUUAGUAGUAGGAUAGGACACGUGUAUUAAUUUUAAGGGCAAGUAAUCAAACUUUUGAAUGAUUCAUCAUGCUUAAAAAAAAAAAGAGACCUAGAUAGAUGAUUCAUCAGAUUCAAAAACAAGUAUAAAUAGACUUCGAGUUUGAAAUUUUAAUUAAUUUGCAACAACAAUUCAAACUGACUGUAUUAAGGUAAGUAGUUACAGAUUUCAUACACAUUAUAUGAUUUCGCGCACAUACGUAUGUAUAUAUAAAUAUUUUUUAAAAUCAUAUACUCCCUCCGUCCCCAAAAUAAGUUCCUCUUUGGGGACGGCACGGAUUUUAAGGAAAAGUGGUAAAGUGUAUUAAUAGUGGAGAAAAAUAUGUUAUAAUUAGUAUUGGAAGUUGUGAAAAGGUGAAAAAGUGUUAUAAUUAGUAUUGGGAGUGGUGAAAAAGUGAAAAGUAAGAAUAAAUAAAGUAUUAUUAGUGGUGGGGUAGUUGUCCAAAAAUGGAAAAAAAGAAAGAGGAACUUAUUUGGGGGACAUCCCAAAAUGGAAAAAGAGGAACUUAUUUCAGGGACGGAGGGAGUAUUAUAUAAUAAUUAUAUUUAAGUUUUAUAUUAUUCUUUAUAAACUAUUGUUCCAUUCUAUAUAAUUAGGUGUGGCACGACUAGGACGUAACUUUCGAUUGAAUUUCUCAAGUUAAUUUUCAAGUUCAAGUUUCAGGUGUGAGAUUUAUUUAAAUACAUGUCAUGAUUAUUCAUUGUCCAUUUUAAUAGUAUGUGUUUACCAUAUGUGUUAUGACGCAUAUUUUGAGGACAUCGCUAGGAGCCCAUAAAUAGGGUCCAGGACUUCACCGUCCUUGGAUUGCCACAAUGCGAUUUGAGGUUUAUUUUGAGGAUGUCGUCAGGGGCCCGUAAAUAGGGUCCAGGACUUUAAUAGUCAUUGGGUUGCCACAGUGCGAAUAUUGAAGAUAUAUAUGAAGUGACCGUAUGUGUUACCGUUUCAUUAACGUGGACAAUGAUUGCAUGUUUAAGAGACAAUAACCAAUUUUUCAGACAUUUGUGAACAAAAUGAAGCAUGUUUAGAGAUCCUUAAUAAAGGUGUACGAAAUGAUGGAUAAAUAAGUUUGUGAAACAAAUUUCACCAUACCUAACCCCACAAUUAUUUGCGGUCGAAUUUCCUCGUCACAGGAAAAAGAGAUGAUGACAAAAGGGCAAAAAUUAAUUAACAAAGUAGAAGAUGCAUGACAACUGUAAAAGAAAAAUAAUGCUACUAAUUAAAUAGUCCAAACUUCAUACGUUUCAUAUCAUAAGUGGCAGUUCUAUUUUUUUUUUGCGAAAGUGAACAAAAUAACGAAUAAUUUUUAAAGUAAUAGUAAUAAGGAGAUGUGUUUUGACAGAAAACGACAUGAGCGGCCUAAAAAUAAGAGGGAAAAAGAUAAUCAUAUAAAUAUGGGUUAAUUGCCUCUAAAUACACCACCUUUCCUUGAAUUCUACAAUUGCACAUCACCUUUAAAAUCCGCCCUUAAAUACACCACCUUUCCUUGAGUUCUACAAUUGCACAUCACCUUUAAAUCCGCCCCAAAAUACAUCAUCUUUAUAUUUUUUCUGUUUUUGCACAUGACUAAAAAAUUCUCAAGAAAUAAAUUAAAGUGUUAAUUUAUAAAUUUAAAUAUCUUUUUAGCAGCGAAAACAUAAUAAAAUAAAAUUCUUUAUAAAGUUUAAAAUCAUAUAUAUAUAUAUAUAUAUAUAAGUAUUUUCGUAAAGAAAUAAAUUCUCUAAUAAAUUUUUAGAAAGAACUUGAAUUAAAAAAAUAAACAAGUCAUGACAUUAAGAAAAUAAAAUGAAAUUUUUAUUUUAAUAAAUUUCACACGAAUUCGAUAUAAUUUGGAAUUUAGAGUUACAAUAAUCAGAAGUACCACAUGAAUAAUAUAAUGAGUUUGAAAGAAAUUUUUUUUAAAGAGGUUCGACACGCCCAUUCGACUUUCCACGCGCCUCCAAUGUCAUUUACCUGAAAUAUUAANUAUAUAAGUAUUUUUCGUAAAGAAAUAAAUUCUCUAAUAAAUUUUUAGAAAGAACUUGAUUAAAAAAUAAACAAGACAUGACAUUAAGAAAAUAAAAUGAAACUUUUAUUUUAAUAAAUUUCACACGAAUUCGAUAUAAUUUGGAAUUUAGAGUUACAAUAAUAAAAAGAACCACAUAAAUAAUAUAAUCAGUUUGAAAGAAAUAUAUAUAUAUUUUUUUAAAGAGGUUCGACGCGCCCAUUCGACUCUCCACGCGCUACCAAUGUCAUUACCUGAAAUACUAAAUAUGGGAUAAGCAUACAUAAUAUACUUAGUGUGGGAACAUGCAAUUAUUGUCCACGUUAAUAAAAUAGUAACACAUACGAUCAUAACAUUCAAAACGACACAAUUUUGCCAAUAUGGAAGCCACGUCAUUUAAAGUGGUAACACCCUAAUCUAACUAAAGUGUUAAAUAUAAAUUUAAAGCGGAAAUAUAAUAAAAUAAAGUUCUUUAUAAAAAUAAAUAAAGAAUUUUAUUUUAUUAUAUUUCCGCUGCUAAAAAAGAUAUUUAAAAUUUAUAAAUUAACACUUUAAUUUAUUUCUUGAGGAUUUUUAAGUCAUGUGCAAAAACAGAAAAAAAAUAUAAAGGUGAUGUAUUUUGGGGCGGAUUUAGAAUUCAAGGAAAUGUGGUGUAUUUAGGGGCGGAUUUUAAAGGUGAUGUGCAAUUGUAGAAUUCAAGGAAAGGUGGUGUAUUUAGGGGAAAUUAACCCUAUAAAUAUUCAAAAUCAAACGGAUUGGCAUGUAUUCAUCAUUUUUUAUUUUUUAUUUUGAUAAUUUAACAGUAUUAAAUAAAGAAAUUUAUAGGCUGCGUCCCUUACUGCUUGGCUUUUAGAUUAUGUUGUAAUAAUAAAAUUAAAAGCACGUUUACAAUAUAAAAUUAAUUAUGAUAAAUACAAUAUAUUAAUAAUAAAUACUCAAUUACCUCUUAACAUAAUUCGCGCAUCAUGGCUUUUAGCUUAUAUUAUAAAGAUAUAAUAUGUUGUCUAUAAUAAUCGACGGAAGGUAAUAGACAACAUGUUUUACUUCUUGUCUAUAAUAAUAUAGACAGUAGAUCUAGUGUUAUAGAUAACAAUUAAUACGUGUUGUCUAUAUGAUGAUAGACACCAAAAAUCUCUGUUGUCUAUUCUAUGACAAAAAAAUUUAAAAAAAUUCUAAUAUAUUUACAUCCCUGUAUUACAAUACCAAUAUAUAUGAAAAAAUAAAAAUAAUUAAAAAUCAAAUAAUCAAACAAUACUUAUAAACCACUAAUACUCACAAUCAAAUAUUUACACAUCAACAAUUGUAUUAUCUUUAAUUACGCCUUCAUUUAUCUACUAAAAAAAAUCUCUAAUAAAAUCUCUAACUAACUCCGGUCAUCAUCUCUUGAAGGCUUAGAAAAUGUCCAAAUACAGCGGCACAUGCUCAUUAUUGUGUGAGCGAUGAGAACUUUGCGCUGAACCUAUAAAGUAACUAUACUUAACUGGUAAAGUAAUUGUAUCCCGUGAAUCUAAAGGAAGAAUAAACACGUUGAUAGAGUUUGAAAGAAAAGAAUAAAGAGAAUGAAAAUCCAAAGAAUUUGCUUCUUCCGUUGAACAAUCCCUACACAACGUUGAAAUAUCAAUGAAAACAAUGGCUAUCCUAUACUCCCUCCAUCCAUGAAAGAACUUCCUAGGAGGGAGUGACACGGGUUUUAAGAAAAAAUAUUGUUAAGUGUAUUGAGAGUGGAUAAAAGGUAGUUGAGUGUAUUGGGAGUGGUGAAAAUGUGUUAUAGUUAAUAUUGAGAGUUGUGAAAAGUGAAAAGUAAGAGGAUUAUAAGUGGUGGGGUAUAGUCCAAAAAUAGGUAGGAAGUUCUUUUGUGGACGUCCCAAAAAGGAAAGAUAUGAAGUUCUUUCGUGGACGGAGGGAGUAUUAUUUUGCAGCAGCAACCACGUUUAAAAACUCGAUCCCUCUAUUCUUGAAUUUGUGAAAUUUCCGACUGAUUUAUUAGAUUCACCAUUUAUUUCAGUUUAAUUAGUCUAUAUAUAGAUAUUUCUUAUAUUAUUAAAUUGUUAACCUCAUGGUAGAUUUCAAGAUUUGAAAAUUCAACAAAGAGCUUGAGAAUUAUAGAGAUUGGAAGGGGAAGAUGAAACAUAGUUGGGUGAAAUUAGAAACCAAUUAAAGUCAGGAGAUUGAAGAAAAACAUAACUUAAAAACACAAAAUAAGCAAAUCGUAGAUGCAGUAUCUUGCAAGAAAAAGUUCAUAUUCCCAAGGCUAUGAUGAGCACGAAUUAGGGUGUGUCUGCAUUUUAUCCCUCUAAAUGGAGGAAUAAUAAAAUUUUAUGCCUUUAAAUGUUUGCUUUCUUAUCACACAUUCUAAACAAACACCAUUUUUUCUUCCUUAUUUUCACUUCAAUGAGGGAUAAUAUUAUCCCUCCAAUUUUGGUGUGAUAAUAUUAUCCCUCCUACAAGUGAAAAUAAGGAAGAAAAAAUGGUACUCCCUUCGUCCCAAACGAAAUGUCCUGUUUUCCUUUUUGGGCUGUCCCAAACGAAAUGUCCUGUUUCCUUUUUUGGCAAUACACUCUCUCUCUAUACUUAAUAUUUAAAUAAUUUUCACCAACCCACUUUAUCUACUUUAUACACAUUUCUUAAUCUCCGUGCCGAAAAGAAAUGGGACAUUUCGUUUGGGACGGAGGGAGUAUUUGUGUAGGAUGUGGGAUAAGAAAACAAACAUUUAAAGACAUAAAUUUUUGUUAUUCCUCCAUUUAGAGGGAUAAAAAGCAAACACACCUUAGAGUCUAAUUACAAUUUAGGCGCAGGCUGUGUGAGAAUUACUUAGUCGAAUAGGAUCCUUAGUAUUUAUAUUUCUCAUGUUCUUGUGUAUUUUUUCACUGAUUCACUAUUGGAUUAACAAGAAUUAUCUUACUUUAAAAAAAAAAAAGAAAUGAUCUUACUUCAUGUAUGGUAUGCCAACUGUUCGAUAAAGGUCCUUUUAGAAAUAUUCCAUAGAUUACCUUGCAAAGACCACAAAACUAGACACACCCUGCAUAGUUUAUACAUAGGGAUGGCCGAUUGAUGAUCGUCUUAUUUGUAGACUUAACGAGAGCAGACUCGAUCGCUUAGUCCUUACUGAUUUACGACACACAUGCACACAUACACAGAUACACACAUCACAAAAUCACGCAAAUUGACGGAUAAUGUUGCCGGCCAGCUCCUUCCUGCUCCACGCCACGGCAUUUUUCUGCACCAUGGUGGCCGUGAAAUACCACGAGACGAUGUCAUGGGUGGCGACGUGUUGUCCGGUGGCGGCGGAUAGCCCGACCUGAACCUCCUGAGCAACAAAGUAGCUCAAAUCGUACUCAUAGCUGACAUCAAACGUCUGAUUGCCGGCGGUGACUUUGACGGAGAUCAUCCUUGUGGCUCCGACGUAGUUGAUCCGCGCAGUUACCUGCUGCUUGAGUAUGGAGCUGUCGACCGGCGUCGUCUUGCUGGAUACCCUAGAGCCGAAGUCGAUGCCGAUGUGGGGAUAGAGCGGAUCCCACGCGCCGUUGACGUAGGUGUCGAUUUCAACGGCGAAGACCCCGGGGCUGUUGCCGUUGGAGCCAAAGAUUCCGAGAUUGGCUCCGUCGGAGCCAGGGGGGAUGGUGGAGUCGACGGGGGCAAUGAAGAAGGCGAGGCCGUCGGCAGGCUCGUUGUCGGCGCCGGGGGUGAUGAUGAAGUUCACGGUGGUUUCGAAGUCGACCUGCCCAUUGGACAUCCAGAAUUGGACCGGUUCCGAGUACAUGACGCGGCCGACUUGGGACGGUUGUGCGUCUGUGAGGCGGAGGAAGGUGGAGUCCGUCGGGAAAUGGGCGUUGCCUUGAUAGAUGAGAUCUUUCGGCUGGUCGCCCCAGAAGUCGAAGGUGAACGACGUCGUUUGGGACAACGCCGUGUUGGAAACGGCGAGGAGGAGGGCGAUGGAGGCGAGGAGAGGAGUUAAGUUGGCCAUGGCUUAAUAGAUUUAGAUUUAGAGAUGUGGUGGAUGAUGGUGGUAUCGAUCUGUUGCACCUAUUUAUACUAGUAUGGUUCAUGCCUGAUAAUAAUUGUAUCAAUCAAUCAUCGUGCAUCUAUCCCAAAUUAUAUGUC
rnacentral:lncRNA from 1 species